UUUUAUUCAAGUCGUGCUGAUCUUGAAAUGUCGCUGCAGAAACCAAUCUGCCAUCAAUAUUUUAACGGUGUAACCAGCUUGAGAGUGUUUUUCUUUUCUUUUCUUUUUUCAAAGGACUGGCAAACAUGCUUGCAACGGAAGAAAAAAAUAUCCAGUUUAGCUAUACUGGCUCAUAUGCCCGUGCGUUGCAACGGAAAAAAUGGAUGUGUCCAACCAAACGCCCAUCAGUGUGCCAUGACAAUAUCCUCGGAGGCUAGAAGGCGCAUGCUCACGUGUAGAAGAAAUGCAUAUCAUGGUUUAAUCUUCAUUAACUGCGACGGAUGCAUAUCAUGACCACUGAAUGAGUAGGAAUAUUACAUGGUAGUUUACUUUUAGUAUUUGUAAGAAUUUAAUUCAUCUCAUAAUCUACACAUAUGAGGGAAAGAAAUAAAAGUAGAACUUACAAAAAAAUGAGAUAGGCUCAACAAACCGGAAUGGACAGAGUAUGUUAUACUCCUUGAGAAUGCAUUAUAUCUGAAUCGCCGGUGAUAAGAAGCACUUACAUCCUCGACAUACAUAUUUUAGAAAACUGAUGAAAUGCAUAUAUCGGGAUAUUUAGAUUAAAUAAUUUAAUGUGUUAUCACACAGUUCACAAAUCACAUUUAAUUAAGGAAAACAUUGCUAGCCGGCCGAAGCGUUGCACAGACGCGAGAGCUGCAUUGGAUCUGGAUCGAUUCAUCGCUCCCUAUCAUGCCACUUAUUCACCUUAUCACUUCCCCGCUCAGUAGCUCGUCCACUCCUUCCCCGCACAUCAUGUUCUUCUUCCUUGCGUCGCUGUGGAGCACCACGCCUCGAUCCCAUCAUCUUCCACGCCGUUCUCAACCUUUCCCUGCUCAUCUCUUCCCAGUAGCUACUAGGGAGGAGGGGCUCUCCCAACCUGGUGCUGCAAGGAGGGGAGGAGGAUGGCAUGGAGAUUUUUGCUACAACCAUCUUUACGCGAUGGUACAACUAGCAUAGCAGCCUGCUAUAAACCACCGGCGUCUGUUUUUGCUACAAGCAACCACCCGCGUCCAGUUUUUGCUACAACUGUGUGCUUUUGUGCUACAACCAGCCUCUUGUUUUGCUACAACCCACCACCGAAGUCAAUUUUCUUGUUACAACCGUGUUGCCUUUCUGCUACUUUUGCUUCAACCGGCAACCACAAACUACUAACGGGCAAGCGUUUUUUGCCACGAUGGCGAUGGGUGCGGCGGCACCAGCGAGUUUUUUGUUAGAACCGGCACAUUUUUUGCUAGGCGGAUUUUUUUGCUGCUACCAGCAACCUGAGAAGAGUACAUUUCACGAGCACGUGGUUAGAGGUGCCGCCACCAGGGACCGUCUCCACUGGAGUUGUGGUGUCGCACCGGAGUUGCCCAUGUCGCCACAGGGAGAUCACUGACGCGUGUUGCUGGACUCGCGUAGCUGGAGAGAAACGCGGCAGACGAAGACGGCGACAGGCGGCGACCGUCGAUGAGGGCAACAUGCGAGACGCGUCGGGGCGGUGCUUCGAGGCGGGGCAUGUCGAUCGUCCAUGGCGGUGAGGUUGGAGUUAUUACUUAAAGAAGAAGGCGUCAGAGGGAGGAAGGAAGGAAAAAGAUCGUGCGGUUUGUACGUGAUUUGAUCGUACCGAAUCAAGCAGUUGCGGCCGACCGGCCAAAAAUUGGGCCGGUCGGCCAGUGCGUAGCUAUCACCUUUAAUUAAAGGGGCAAACACACUUUUUGAACUAAAAAUUUACAAAUACAUUGUACCAUACAUAGCCCAUAAUCCGAUAGACCCAAGCAGGGCACUCAUCCAACUAAGAAAACAGAGAGAGGCAUCGUGCAUAUCCUCGGCUUUUAUAGAAAAAAGAUGCCAACGACGUGCCGAGUGUCGAGCAUGCCACAAGAAUUAUUUAAAUAUAACGUGUUUCUCCAAUGUGAAAGGCUCGGAUCAGUCUGAAUCAUAUCUACGUAAACUCCUCUCCCUCGUUCCGUCUACCCCUCUGCUCUCUGGGGAAGCACUCCCCCUGACGCCUCGCCUCCUCUCCUCUUCUACUCCGCUGGCAUCCUCUGCUCUCCUCUUCUACUCCGCCAGCGCAUCCGGCCGUAGUAGAAGGAGAGGGACUCGUCGCCGCCUCCUCCCCUGUACCAUGUAAGGCCAGAUCUAUGUCCUUCUCUUCUGAUUUGGCCAGCAAAAUUAUAUUGUUAAAGCGUUUAUCGGCAUUAGUAAAAUUAGAUUGGAUAUGAAUGAAAUCAUCUGUAACAACGCAUGGACGCGUCGGCCAAACCUUGCACGGGGAAAAGGAAAGCAGAUUUCUCAUCUUAUUGAGAGAGAGACGCCUUAGGAUUGACCACAUUCAAACGCAUUAUGAUUGUGUUAGCACCGAGGCCACCGUCGAUGAGGGUGGGAGGAGGAUAAGUGGCAACACAGAUGGAAUGUCGUGUUCGAAUAAAUAACAUUGACCUAAUAGGGUCUUGAGUCACGGUUAUUGGUUAGGGCAUCGUUUAUUUUUUUCCCGUUGCAAUGCACAUGCUCUUUUGCUAGUAUAUAACAAAAAAACUAACAAGAAAAUAAUGAAAGGGAAACUCAGGUGGGCAGACCACUCCACGCUCGCGCGGGCGUCGUCACCCCUCCCCCCCUACAAGACUCAGUAAUUGUUAUAUAGCAAACCCGCCAGUGCUAUAUCUCCCUUAUGCCGAGCCGGAUCUCGCCUAAAGCUAUUUCAGAUCACUAUAUUACUUGGCGGGCCAACAACUUUUCUUUUGAAACUUAGCGGGCCAGUAACUGUAGCACUUUUUUACACAAUGUUGCAGUGUGUUGCAUUUGUUUUUCUGUUACCCCUGGAAAAAAAUCUUUUUUUUUAUUUCGGGUUCAUCAAAAUAAAAUCGGUUUUUAUUCAUUCUUUAUUGAUUUUUUUCCUUUUCCAUUCAUUUCUUGCCUUUUUCGCCUAGAUUUUGUUCGGUAUUGUUUUUAUUUUCUACAUUUUCAUUAAACUUCAUUGAUUUCACUGUGGUGUACUGUUUUGCAUCGUUUCUUCAGUUUUUGUUCAUUUUGUUUCACUUUUCUAUUUUGUUUGUUUUCUUUGUUUCUUUCCCAUUUUUAUCCUUUUCCAGUUAUUUUCCUGCCCUUUUAACACACGUCUACUUUCUUUUACUCACGAUGUAUAUUUUUCCUAUACAUUCAAAAAAAAUUAUACAUGUUUAACAUUUUCAAGUACAUGAUAUACUUUUCUUGAAAUAAUUUUUUGAUGUCUAUUUUUCCACGUACACGUUGUACAUUUCUCGUAUUCAUCUGAAACAUUAUUUUUAUACAUGUUUCAUAUUCUUUUAAACACAAGAUUGACAUUUUGUAAAUAUAUGUUUUGGUUUCUAAUUUUUUUGUCAUUUUCAUUGUAUAUUUUUCAUAUACACUAGGAAUUUUUUUAUAUAUAAUUAAUACUUUUUAAAUACAGUUAAUAUUUUUUAAAUACAAGACUAACAUUGUUUCUAAUAUAUGUGUUUGAAGAAUUUUAAAAUGUGCGUUAAACAUUUUUCAAAUGCAGGUUGUAACAUAUUUUUAAUGGUAUAAAUAUUAUUUUAUGGGUUACACAUUUUUUUUAUUGUAUGAACUUUUCUUAAUGUGAGGUACAAUUUUAUGGAACGCAUGAACUUUUUUUCAGGUCAAAAUUUUCUUGAAAGGUAUCAACAUUUCUUUAAAAUUAUGCUAACAAAAAAUACUUUGCAUUCAUAUUUUUCAAAUGUGCGGUGAACAUUUUCUAAUUUAUUAAUUUAUGUGUGCUGGUAUUUGAACAUUUUAAAAUUGUAUACUUAUUGAUAAAGCAAAUAGUGCUCCUCUUUGUCCGUCAAACCAUUUUGCAAAAAACACCCUGCAGUUUCUAGAAAUCAACUCGUGGUUCAACAUUAUAGUGAAUCGUUUUUCGCAUUUUACAUAAACUCCUUACCUUUUAUGCCAAUUAACCCGCACUCAUAAAACCCCUUGAUAUUUGCAUUAAUCAACCCGCGGUCCAUCUAAAAUAAAUGUUUUAUUAAAAUAACCAUAUAUUUUAAACCCUAUAUCCAAUUUUGACAUGUUAGAUAUGAAAUUUAAUUAAGAAAAUAUAUAGAAGCUGAAUAUGAUAUUAGUUUACCUGUUAACUAUUUUUAAAGUGCUAUUUCAGUUGCAAGCUUAAUCAGUGGUGCACGAUCCGGCUUCCUUUCUACCGGCCCUGAUUCGUAUUUCAAGCGAACAUGUUGUAUGCUUGUGUGCUGGUUGGCAAUGAGCGAGUAAAAUGAUUAUAAUGACGCCAUUCUAAUCCUUCGGCAUGUUGUACUUGCAUCAGGUUCUUUUCUUGUACAUGUUCCACACCUAAGACCCUACGUACGUACCUUUUCUUGGCCAAAUCCACACACGUACUUACCAACGGGCUACACAAUUCCUUUUUUUUAGUAAAUACACAAACAAUUUUCAUGGGAUGUACAUACAAUUAUAAAAUUCAUAAACAUCAAAAGUAGAUGAAUAUUUAUUUUGAAAAUAUCCAAACAAUUCUUGUGAAAGUCAUGAAGCAUAUUGAAUCCGUUCUUGUGAUAGUCAUGAACAUUAGUAUUGAAACCAAUAUGUAGGAUCUUAAUUUGUGUUCCAUUCGCUGCAUGUGACGAUGAAACAUAUAGGACUUAGGGUCAGUUUGGUUCAUGUCCUGGAUGUUUGAUGCCUGGCCUGGGGCCUCCCUGAGAGUUUCCUAGCUCCUGUUUGGUUGAGAUCCUGGUGACAAGAGAGCCAGCCUGGCCAGAAAAUCUGACAACGCAAUUAGCCUGGCCCCAAAAUGAUGGAAGUUGGUUAGCCUCGCCAGGCAUGUGAAUUUGGACGCCUGGGCUUGCCUGGAGUAGCAGCCUGGGCUUAAUAAUUAUAGGGCUCAAGGAAUGAGGCAGUAGGGAAGGAAUCAAAUCUCUGUUUCAGACAUUAAAUUGACUUUUAAGGACUCAGCAGGCCAGGUCGUGAACCAAAUAGGGUUUAGCUAUACUUGCCUGACCAGGCAAUAUUUUCCAGUUUCUCAGGCCCGUGCCAGGCAUCAAAAUUUCUCAGGCAUAGUGUUGAGGACACCAACCAAACUGACUAUUAAUCCAUAGACGCAGCCUCCUCAGUGUUUAAUGGCACCGCUUAGAUGUUGUCUGAGUGUUGCGUAGGUGCACACAUAUGAUAAGUCUGAAUCAAAAUCAAAAUAACGUCUUUGGUGAAAAAAUGCUUACUCUCUAGUUGCAACGCAUGAGCAUAUCUGCUUGUAUAAACAAAUGUAAAAAUAUAUAUAAGGAGAAGGACGAGUGAUUUAACACAUACAUAAGCAACCAACACACAACCAACUACUAGGCUGACCCUUGUAAAGCGUGUGUUGAAGCCACACUUGCUUGUAUCAUCCGAACGAGGAGUCCCUAGUUAUCGCUCUGUGCGGGGCGCCCCUACGUCUCGCUUUAAGCGAGACAGGGGGUGCGCUCGCGUCUUGGUGAGCCCAAGACGGGCCGGCCCAGCCGCGCGGAAGAUACAACCUGUUUUUUUUGUUUUUUUUUUCUGUUUUCUGUUCUCCCAUUUUGUUUUUUUGGUAUUUUUCUUUAUACUUUAAUAUACUCUACACACACACACACACACACACACACACACACACAUAUAUAUAUAUAUUACAAAAAACACUCUUCAAAAACACAUUUAAUUUUUAAAAUGUUCAAUAAGUGUUUGAAAAUGUUGAAUUAAUAUUAAAAAUGUUGAACAAGUAUUUAAAAGAUGUUGAAUAGAUAUUAAAAAAUGUUGAACGAGCAUAUGGAAAAUGUUGAAGAAGAACUUGAAAAUAUUGAAUAAGUAUUAAAAAUACUGAACUAGUAUUUGAAAAAUGUUGAAUAGGUAUUAAAAAAAUGUUGAACGAGUACAUAAAAAAUGUUGAAUAAGAAUUAAAAUUGUUGAACAAGUAUUUGAAAAAAUAUUGAAUAAUUGUUAAAAUGUUGAAUAAGUAUUUAGAAAAUGUUAAAAUAGCAUUCGUACAAUGUUGAACGUGUGUACAAAAAGUGUUGAUCACUUGUUACAAGAAAUGUUUUUGGCAUGUACGAAAAAGAAAAGAAAAUGAGAAAAGCAUUGAAAACCGAAGAAACGAAUGAAAAAAGAAUGCAAAAACUAACGCCCACACAUGUGGGUGUUUACACAUCGCCCACACGCCUCCAUCAUCACUCAUUUUGCCACGUAUGAAUAGAUGACAUCAGUAGAAAUCUUUUUGGUUUUCGGCUUAAAAAUAUCUCCUAAUUAAAAAAAACGAAUUAAAAAUCCGUUUUCACCAUUAAAUCCAUCUCGACGAGAUCUUCAAAACUAGACCCCAUGUUGAUAUGUUUCGACGAAUUUUUUUUUUGCCCAGAAGUUGCCAUGAUGUUUACAUUGUAGUUGCCAUAGUGCUUAAACUAAAGUUGCCAUGUGGCAAUUUUAGUUUGUAGAUCAUGGCAAUUUUUUUUUUUUAUGAUGGCAAUUCCAGUACUUUAACCAUGAAAAUUUUUUUUUGUAUGAACCAUGGCAAUUUUAAAUGCAUGUAUCAUGGCAAUUUUAGUUUAUGGUGCACGGCAAGUCUAGUUUCUUAAUUCCCUGUUUUAUAAUAUGUUAAAAUUUACUUUUGAAUGUAAAAGAAAAUAGCUAAAACAUAUCAUGGCAACUUCAGUGUAAAUAUCAUGGCAAUUCAUGUGCAAUAGGCAUGGCAACUUUUAACCCAAAAAAAUUUCGCCGAAAUAUAUCGAUAUGAGAUCUAGUUUCGAAGAUUUCGUCGCAAGGGAUUUAAUGGUGAAAACGGAUCUUCAAUCCGAUUUUUCAUUUAAGAGAUAAAACAUUUUAAAAAUUGAAAAUCAAAAAAGAUUUUCACAUGCAUGCAUGCGGUGACAUGGCGUAUUCUAUGUAUUAUAGGGCGUGUGAGCGGGUUUGACUCCCACCACACGUGUGGGCGUUAGCUUGUCCAAAAAGAAUGGGAAAAAACGGAGAAGAAAAAAGAAAAAGAACAAAAGAAGCGAAAAAAGGAAGAAAACCCGAAUAACAUAGAGGAACAUGAUGAAAGAAAAAGAAAAGGAAAAAAAGUAAAACAGAAAAACCCAGAAAACCAAUGAAAAUUGGCUCUUUAUGCCUCAAGUAGGGCGCGCCUAGGUACUUGAACACCAACUUGGCGUGAGCCUAGUGGUUAGGUGCUCUGCGCAACACGCUGUAGGCGUGAGACUGAAUCCAGGAUCCAACAUUUUUUUACUGCAUGCUAGUAACGGGCCAGGCUGUUACUGUAGCUGUCGACGCAAGAGCGAACUCUCCUCUCGCUUAAUAUGAGAAAUAGACGUUGCGCUCUCUGUGCCAGGUAGCAAGGCAACGCCCGCGCGCCUCUUGCGUGGGCUGGACCACUUUGUGAGUAAGCAGCCCAGUCGUCAAAAAAGGCGCGCCCAAAUCGGUCCUACUGUUGGGGUACAUAGUAAUUUCAGAAAAAAAAUCCUACGCAUACGCAAGAUCAUGGUGAUGCAUAGCAACGAGAGGGGAGAGUGUUGUCCACGUACCCUCGUAGACCGAAAGCGGAAGCGUUAGCACAAUGCGGUUGAUGUAGUCGUACGUCUUCACGAUCCGACCGAUCAAGUACCGAACGCACGGCACCUCCGAGUUCAGCACACGUUCAGCCCGAUGAUUGUCCCUCGAACUCCGAUCCAGCCGAGUGUUGAGGGAGAGUUUCGUCAGCACGACGGCGUGGUGACGAUGAUGAUGUUCUACCGACGCAGGGCUUCGCCUAAGCACCGCUACAGUAUUAUCGAGGUGGACUAUGGUGGAGGGGGCACCGCACACGGCUAAAAGAUCAAGAGAUCAAUUGUUGUGUCUUUGGGUGCCCCUGCCCCCGUAUAUAAAGGAGCAAGGGGGGGGGGGAGGCGGCCGACCAGGAGAGGGGCGCGCCAGGAGGAGUCCUACUACCACCGGGAGUAGGACUCCCUCCCUUCCUUGUUGGAUUAGGAGAAGGGGGAAAGAGGACGAGGAGAAGAAGGAAAAGGGGGGCGGCGCCCCCCUCCCCAUCCUUGUCCAAUUCGGACUAGAGGGGGAGGGGGCGCGCGGCCUGCCCUGGCCGCCCCUCCUCUUCUACACUAAGGCCCAUGUAGGCCCAUUAAUUCCCUGGGGGGUUCCGGUAACCCUCGAUACUCCGGUAUAUAUCCGAUAACCCCCGGAACCAUUCCGGUGUCCGAAUAUAGUCAUCCAAUAUAUCAAUCUUCAUGUCUCGACCAUUUCGAGACUCCUCGUCAUGUCCGUGAUCACAUCCGGGAUUCCGAACAACCUUUGAUACAUCAAAACAUAUAAACUCAUAAUAUAACUAUCAUCGAAACUUUAAGCGUGCGGACCCUACGGGUUCGAGAACUAUGUAGACAUGACCGAGACACGUUUCCGGUCAAUAACCAAUAGCUCCCACAUAUUAUACGAAGAUCUUUAUCGGUCAGACCGCAUAACAACAUACGUUGUUCCCUUUGUCAUCGGUAUGUUACUUGCCCGAGAUUCGAUUGUCAGUAUCUUAAUACCUAGUUCAAUCUUGUUACCAGCAAGUCUCUUUACUCGUUCCGUAAUACAUCAUCCCGCAACUAACUCAUUAGUUGCAAUGCUUGCAAGGCUUAAGUGAUGUGCAUUACCGAGUGGGCCCAGAGAUACCUCUCCGACAAUCGGAGUGACAAAUCCUAAUCUCGAAAUACGCCAACCCAACAAGUACCUUCGGAGACACCUGCAGAGCACCUUUAUAAUCACCCAGUUACGUUGUGACGUUUGGUAGCACACAAAGUGUUCCUCCGGUAAACGGGAGUUGCAUAAUCUCAUAGUCAUAGGAACAUGUAUAAGUCAUGAAGAAAGCAAUAGCAGAAUACUAAACGAUCGUGUGCUAAGCUAACGGAAUGUGUCGUGGAAUUGUCACGGCAGAUGUCCUUGUGCAAGGACUUAGUCGUGGAGCCAUCGCAACUAGGAAGCUUAAAGGGGUUAAGCGGGACAAGGAACACGAGGGUUAUACUGGUUCGGCCCCUUACGGUGAAGGUGAAAGCCUACGUCCAGUUGAGGUGGUAUUGAUUAAGGUUUCGAUGACCAGGAGCUAAAACGUCCUGCCUGGUUAUCGAUUUGGUCUACUCGUCCCUAAACCGCCGCCGGGUCGUCCCUUUAUAUAGAGAGGUAGACGCCCAGCGGUUCUCAGAGUCCCGGCCGGCUCAUAACAGUGUCCGGCUCGGACUCUUAACUAUUCUUGCCUUACACUACAAGUUUUGCCAUAACGGCGGUUUAUCACUACGGGCCUUAAGCCAUCUCUGGGUCUUAAGCCCAUCUUUGAUCCGCCGUCUCCAAGUUCGGUACUGGGCUUCACGUGAUGACCAUUAUGACGUAACCCGGCCCCUCCUGGGCAGGUGACCCAAUGGUUAUAUCCUCAACAUUAGGCCCCAGAUUGAUUUGACCCGGUUCAUGUCAAUCUUCAAUCCUUUUGAUAGAAAAUCUUCCGGCUUAUAUUUGUGCGAAGGCUAUAACCCGCCGUGACGUCAUCUUCUGGAUUCCUGGUAACCCGGCAUGACGUCAUCUUCCAUUAAAUUCAUUUUUUAUUUUGUCAUAUCCCAACGGAUCUUAUCUUUAAUGGUUAUCCCGAAAAUCGAGGCGUUUUCGUGGCACGAUAAUCACGUCGUGGCCUCCUCGUUUCUCGCGCCCACUCAUCAGCCGUGCCUUAUAAAUAGGCCCGACCCUUAUGUCUUCGUCAUCUUCCUCCUCUCGCUAUUGUACUGCUGCUCGAGCUCCACCGCCGCCGCCGCGGAUCUCCUCGUCUUCACCAACUCAGGCCGCUGCAUCAACCUGACUUGACCAGAAAAACGCGACGGAUCUCUGCGGUAACUCUGCAUCCGUAAGUUUUUCCCUCCCUGUUCCUUAGAUCCGCAUUAGUGAUCUUCGAGUUCGUCGGUGUUCGUCGCCGUUCGUCACGAACACUUGAUAGAUUCCACCUUUAACACCUUUCCCUGAUCCUUAGACAGUGUAAAACUGCUGCGGUAAUCGUUCCGCACCCGUUUUCGAAUGCACAUAGAUCCCUUUCCAUUGCACAGAGGCCCCGUUCGAGCCUAUGAACUUCAUCUGUGUCAGUUCUAGGUCUAGAAAUUUUCCCUUUCUGUACGAUCGUCUGAUCCAAAAUAAUUACUGCGAUCUGCGAAACUUGUUUGUGCCACACUUAGUCAAAAAUUGCAUCUGUUAGCUAUGACGGCUCACAUCUCCGGCUUAAAAGAGGCCACGCGCUGUGAAAUUUCCGGCUCAUUUAUGAUAGAGCUUUAAACAACUUGAAUUACUGACGAUGCCCACAACGGCUUAGAUAACCCGACACAAUUAGCCAUAUGUCAUUAGGCCCCUUCAUAAGCCGCCAUCUUGAGUGCUGAACUGUAAACUUCUUCCGGCUUAUAGUUGAACCGGACAUUUCCUUUUGUCAUAGGCUUCAUCUUUCACAAUGCCGCCCAAGGCUCCCAAGGCACCCAUCACGUGCAACUGGAUGAGAUCCAAUGUUACUGAUGAGACCUUAGCUGAUUUCGUGAAGACGGGUUAUCUACCAAAAAAGGAGGUUAUGUCCUAUCAUGCCCCUGACCCAUCCGAAGAAAGACCUCAACCAAGAGACGGAGAGGUUGUGAUAUUUGCUGAUCACAUGAGCCGGGGCUUUGCUCCUCCCGGCUCAAAAUUCUUCAGAGACGUUCUGAACUUCUUCGAUCUGCGGCCACAAGACAUAGGACCCAAUUCCGUGUCAAAUAUUUGUAACUUUCAAGUAUUCUGCGAAGUAUAUCUUGGAGAGGAGCCCAGCCUACUGCUCUUUAGGGAGCUGUUUUAUCUGAACCGCCAGAACGAGUGUGCCAACGGGCCUAGCUUGGAACUUGGCGGAAUCUCCAUUCAACAACGGAGAGACUGCCUCUUUCCUUAUGCUGAGCCGCCAAGCCACCCAAAGGACUGGAACCAGACAUGGUUCUACUGCCAGGAUACUUCUCCGGCUGAUGAGAACCCUCUGCCCGGCUUUCGUGCCCUGCGUCUGGAGCCAAAUCACCCCCUGCCAGACAAACUAUCUCAAGCUGAGCGUCAACCUCUGAUCCCCACCAUCAACAAGAUUAAGGCUCUCCUGGGAAAUGGCCUCAACGGCAUUGAUCUGGUCCGGGUCUGGAUUUCUUGGCGGGUGAUUCCCUUAAGCCGCCGCCCCGGCUUAAUGUGUGAUUACACGGGCCGGAAGGAUGAUCCUCUGCGGCACAGCCCCAACGACCUACCUGAGGACGUUGUUGACGACAUGAGCAACUCCCUCUUGAACGAGAGCUUAGCAGACUGCGGGAGGACCGGCUUAAGCCCCUUCUGCCAAGCUAACCCGGCUCCGGCGGUAAGCCACUGACCUGAGCAUCUUGCUUUCCCUUUUAAUAGUUUUCAUCUGAAGUUUAAGAAAUCUUUGUUGUAUUUUUCAGGCUAAUGAUAAGUUCUGGAAGGUCAAGUAUGACCAUGAGGCGGCUAAAAAGGCCAGGAAGGCUAAGAAAGCCGCCAGGAGAGCCGCUCCCCGCAAGAAGGGCAGUAAGCCUAGCGCCUCAGAGCUGCUUCAGCUAGAUGAUAGCUGCGAGUCAGAGGUAACCCUUGAUUCUUUAGGCUCUUCCUUUGUUUCUUGUUUGUUCUUAACCGCCUUAUCGACACUGAUUAUCAGCAGGAUGACACCGGAGCGAGUAACCCGGUGACUGAAGAGGUAACUAUACUUUCCUCCGACUCGGAGCCCUUGCCAAGGCCGAAAGUCCGAAGAGUAACCUGAAAAGUAAGAUUUUCACAUCCUUUAGCUUAUCAAGAUCCUCAAUUUCUUUUGAAGCAACAGAUUCAUGAGAGCCGGAGACAAACCCGGGCCAACAAGGAUGCAGACCUCUCCUCCGGCUUACCUGAAGCAUCAAGGAAACGCCGGACCGAGGUUAUCUCCAACUUAUACCCUUUUCAUCCUUUAGUGGGCGUCACUCGUCAACCGCUCAAUUCGUCUGAUUCAAAUUAUCAGGAAACUUCACCUUCCUCUGGUGACUCUAUGCAAUCUAACCUGCCGGCUUUCAAGACCGCACCUGGGUAAUGAUGAUCAUCUUAUGUUGUGCUUAUCUUUACUCAUGCUUUUGUACUAACCUUUUGUCCUUUCAGUGCUCAAGCAAAGCUCAGCAAGAGAGCGAAAAAGAAUAAACCGGUCGAAGAACCGGUCCUGACUGAACCGGAGGCUUCUGCUCAAGAGCCGCCAUCUGCCUCAGCUCCUGAAGCCACCGCUCCAACUGACGAGCCAGUCAUAGAGGCUUCUACUAACCCGGAGAUCCCCAGCCCAGCUCAGCCGGCCGAUGACCCGGACAUUGUAAUCACCCGGACAGAAUUUGUCGAGCCGGGGAGACCCACUGUGCUGGCCAAAUGCUCUGCCAAAGAAGAACUGCUGGAGCGCCGCAGGGCCAGACUGGAGAUUACCGACUAUGCGAAUUUGAGCAUUGGAGACAUUGUUUCGGGUUACAUUGGUCAAGUGCACAACAACCGGGACCUGGAGAUUGACAUGGUGAAGCAGAUACAGCAAAAAUUUGAGGUACAACUCUCUUGCUUACUCCAUAGUUAUCCUUACCAUGCUAGCCCCCAAGUCUAUUACUUAUGAUAGAAUAGGUUGUAGACUUAACUUCCGGCUUACCUUCAUGAACCGGCAAUUAUAAAUAAAAUCGUUCGGCACACAUUAGCCCCCAAGUGCCAACUGUCUUUGCUUUGCAAAGUGCUUGGGACUUCAAUGUUGCAUGAUAAUUAUUCACACUGUAACCCGGAAUUUGUACAGGCUGUCUGCAAGAAAUUUGAAUCUGAAAUCUCUGAGCUGAAGAAUCGCCUGAAGACUCAGGAAACUGAGACCCGGAAGGCCAAUGCCAAAUUCGAGUUCAGUGUUGCUGCACAGGAAAAGCUGAAGAAGAAAUUUGAAACAGAAAGAAAGACUUGGGCUGAGGAGAGAACUGCCUUGCUGAGCCGGGCCGAAAAAGCAGAGGCUGCUCUAACUGAGAGAACCGCCGAACUCUCCGGCUUAAAACGCCAUGUGUCGCAGAUGGUCUCCGCAAUCUUCGGUAAGUCAUUCUGCAAGCUUUUAACAAGUUUUCAUUCUUUAUGUCUCAUAAGUCACACUAUCGCAAUCGGCUUACCUGACUUUGUUAAACAGGUCCCAGAAGCUCCAACCUUAAUCAGAAUGUUCUGACCAAGCUGAAGGCCGUGUACACCUUGGUGGAGCAACUCUAUACCGGGUCACAGCGUGCGUUAGCCGUUGUGGCUCUGUCCAACGAGGUUCCGACUCACCUGGCGGAUGUACUCAGGCGGCUUGCUGUUCUUCCUCAGCGCUUCCAAGAGCUAAGAUGGGCCUCUGCAAGAGCCAGAGCUAUAGCUACACUGAGCCGGGCCAAGGCUUUUCUCCCGGAGCUAGACCCAGCCGACAUCGCUCUUGGAUACCCCAGCCUGAAGGAAGACGGGACCCCCUUCGACCAGAAAGACUUCGCCGUCUGUGUGAAAAGCGUGCGCCCAGUGGCUACCAUGACCGGGAACGACACAAAUCUUACCAAGUAUCAGCCGGGUUAUGACACGGAGAAUCAGAGGAUCCCAACUCCACGCUAUGAAGCAAUCAGCCUGAUUCCGCCGACUCGUAAACACACCUUUGCCCCAGAAGUUGACCCAGCCGGGUUAAUUGAUGAUGAGGCUCAAUUUGAAGCUUUGAGCGGCAUUGACUGGAAAUCAUCAACCUUCCAGGUCAUGGGAACAGCCGGAGAAGCGGAGAGGGAUGAGCCGGAAGCUUCGACCCAACAAGCUCCUUGAUCUGUUAGGCGGCUUACAGACAUGCCUUAAAAACAAUGCCUCAUCUUUUGGACUCUGGGAGUCUUGUAAUAGAAUAGGACAAACACUUAACUUUGUCGUGCCAUCGUGCACGUGUUGAAUGCUUAACUCCAUUGAAGCUGCUUCUUUAUAUUCCUCCGGGUUACAAUUGAUCAUUUAUUUUCCUUAUGCUUGAAGAACUGUCUUUAAUUGCUCUGCAUAGAAAAAUAAAUCACAAAUCUCUAGGCGGCUUACCACAUGGAGAGUCACAUAUCUUACCCUUAAACCGGAACAUAACCAAGGUCAUAAAAGACCGGCUCUCAACCAUAUCUUCAGGAUAACCACAAUAGCCUACCUGCAAGCCGUCAAGUACACUUCCGGUUUAUGUAACCCAAAUAACGAGGUUGAGAACUCAAGCCCCGGCUCAACAUUGUUAACCUAGUUUAAGCCGGCAGAGUAAGAACCGCCCUUGCACACUGUUGAUAUGAUCAAAAGAACUUAUUGCAAAAACAAAAAGAUCAAAACUUAGGGGCUUCCGGUUCGAAUACGACCAGAGAACCGUCCCAAAGGGGUUAAGCUAAGAUUCGAAUGCGAUCAUAUAGCCCCCAGUGGGUUUGGCGUUGCCAAUCAAGAGGGUACCGACAGCUAUGUUCUCUUCGGUUCGAAUACGACCUAUGUUUGAACAGGAAGCCCCCAAAUGAUCUUAAGAGUUGUUUAACGACGCUGAUUCGAAUACGAUCCACGUCGGUUCCCAAAGGGGGUUGAGCUAUGAUUCAAAUAUGAUCAAGAAAAACUCCCCAAUGAGCUUGGCAGUUUGCCAAUCAAGUGGGUAUCGACAGCUAUGUUCUCUUUGGUUCGAAUACGACCUAUGUUUGAACAGGAAGCCCCCACGUGAUCAUAUUGUUUAACGGCUAGAUUCGAAUAUGAUCAUAAGCCGGAUCCACCUCCAUGUAAUGUUGUAAUGGAAACAACACUUUUACCCUUGGAGGAGAAAAGGACAGAGGUCCUGCUUUAUUAUUUAUCAUAAUAGAUACAUGGCUAUAGAAAUAUGUACAUUAUGAGAGCCGGUGGCUCAAGUGUAAUAAGGUCGAAGCUGAGCUAUAUUCCAUGGGCGACGGGUCUCUUCCUCCGACUUACGUGACUCCUUGUGCUCCCGAACAUCGAUAAGGUAGUAUGAACCGUUGUGCAAGUCCUUGCUGACCACAAAGGGCCCUUCCCAAGGCGGGGAUAACUUGUGUGAAUAUGUUUGAUCUUGGAUAAGCCGGAGGACCAGAUCACCUUCCUGGAAGACCCGGGACUUAACCCGGCGGCUGUGAUAACGGCGCAGGUCUUGUUGGUAAAUCGCUGAGCGAGCUGCUGCCACAUCACGCUGUUCGUCCAACAAGUCAAGAGCAUCUUGGCGCGCCCGCUCAUUAUCCGCCUCAACAUAAGCCGCCACUCGAGGCGAGUCAUGACGGAUGUCGCUAGGGAGGGCUGCUUCCUCUCCAUAAACCAUGAAGAAAGGCGUGUAACCCGUAGAUCUGUUAGGAGUAGUAUUGAUGCUCCAUAACACGGAGGGUAACUCCUCCACCCAACAACCCGACGUCCGUUGCAAAGGGACCAAAAGCCGGGGCUUGAUGCCCUUCAAAAUCUCCUGAUUAGCUCUCUCAGCUUGACCAUUGGAUUGAGGGUGAGCCACUGAUGAAACAUCAAGUCGAAUAUGCUCUCGCUGACAAAACUCCUCCAUGGCGCCCUUAGACAGAUUGGUACCAUUGUCAGUUAUAAUGCUGUGUGGAAAACCAAAGCGAAAUAUCACCCUUUUCACGAACUGAACUGUUGUGGCCGCGUCACACUUGCUAACUGGCUCUGCCUCAACCCACUUGUGAACUUGUCAACUGCCACCAAGAGGUGGGUCUUCUUAUCCUUGGACCUUUUAAAAGGCCCAACCAUAUCAAGCCCCCAGACCGCAAAUGGCCAAGUAAUUGGGAUCAUCCUCAGCUCCUGAGCCGGCACAUGAGCCCGUCGCGAGAACCUCUGACAACCAUCACAUUUACUGACCAAGUCUUCCGCAUCAGCAUGAGCCGUCAGCCAAUAAAAACCAUGACGAAAGGCUUUGGCCACAAGGGAUUUUGAGCCGGCAUGAUGGCCACAAUCCCCUUCAUGAAUCUCUCGUAAAAUUUCUUGACCCUCCUCAGGGGAAACAAAACGCUGGAAAGUUCCAGUAACACUGCGAUGAUGCAGCUCGCCAUUGAUAAUGACCAUUGACUUAGACCGCCGGGUUAUUUGUCUGGCCAAAGUUUCAUCCUCAGGCAAAUCUCCCCGGGUCAUGUAAGCCAAGUAUGGUACUGUCCAGUCUGGGGUGAUGUGGAGAGCCGCCACCAACUGUGCCUCCGGGUCAGGAACAGCCAAGUCCUCCUCUGUAGGCAACUUAACAGAAGGGUUAUGCAAGAUGUCCAAGAAAGUAUUAGGCGGCACCGGCUUUCGCUGAGAGCCCAGCCGGCUUAAUGCAUCAGCCGCCUCGUUCUUCCUGCGAUCGAUGUGCUCUACUUGGUAACCCUGAAAGUGUCCAACAAUGGCAUCAACUUCACGGCGAUAAGCCGCCAUGAGAGGGUCCUUGGAAUCCCACUUGCCUGACACUUGUUGGGCCACUAAAUCUGAGUCGCCAAAGCACCUCACCCAGCUCAAACUCAUCUCCUUAGCCAUCCGAAGACCAUGGAGCAAGGCCUCGUACUCAGCUGCAUUGUUAGUACAGGGAAACAUCAACCGUAGCACAUAGCAAAACUUGUCACCUCGAGGGGAAGCUAAUACAACUCCAGCCCCCGAGCCUUCCAAUUGCCUAGACCCGUCGAAGUGAAUAGUCCAGUAUGUAUUAUCCGGUUUCUCUUCAGGUACCUGCAGCUCCGUCCAGUCGUUGAUGAAGUCCACCAAUGCUUGAGAUUUGACAGUAGUGCGUGGCACAUAUUUCAGACCAUGAGGCCCAAGCUCUAUAGCCCACUUAGCCACUCUCCCUGUAGCUUCUCUGUUUUGGAUGAUAUCUCCUAGAGGAGCAUAACUAACCACAGUGAUAGGGUGACCCUAGAAAUAAUGCUUAAGCUUCCGGCUUGCCAUGAACACCCCGUAAACAAGCUUCUGCCAAUGUGGAUACCGUUGUUUGGACUCAAUGAGCACUUCACUGACAUAGUAAACUGGCCGCUGAACCGGAUACUCCUUACCCACUUCCUUGUGCUCCACCACCACAGUCACACUGACGGCUCGUGUGUUAGCAGCGACAUACAACAAUAAGGGCUCCUUGUCAACCGGAGCAGCAAGGACUGGGGGCUCAGCCAGCUGUCUCUUCAAAUCCUCAAAGGCAGCAUUAGCAGCAUCGUUCCAGACAAAGUUAUCUGUUUUCUUCAUCAGUUGGUACAGUGGCAUGGCCUUUUCACCCAAGCGGCUUAUAAACCGGCUUAGAGCAGCGAUGCGACCCGCCAGACGCUGGACGUCGUUUAUACACGCCGGCUUAGCCAGAGAGGUGAUUGCCUUGAUCUUUUCCAGGUUAGCCUCAAUGCCUCUGUGAGAAACCAGAAAACCUAAGAGCUUGCCUGCAGGAACACAAAAAACACACUUGGCCGGGUUAAGCAUCAUCUUGUAGACCCGGAGAUUAUCAAAGGUUUCUCUCAGAUCAUCUAUCAAGGUCUCCUUCUCCCUGGAUUUAACCAUGAUAUCAUCCACAUAAGCAUGAACAUUGCGCCCAAUCUGGUUAUGAAGACAAUUCUGCACGCAACGCUGGUAAGUCGCCUGUGCACUCUUGGGCCCAAAAGGCAUAGAUACAUAACAGAAGGCUCCAAAAGGAGUGAUGAAUGAUGUCUUCUCCUGGUCCUUAACUGCCAUUUUAAUCUGAUGAUAUCCAGAAUAAGCAUCCAAAAAACUUAAGCGCUCACAACCCGCCGUAGCAUCAAUAAUCUGAUCAAUACGGGGGAGAGCAAAAGGAUCAGCCGGACAGGCCUUGUUUAAAUCCGUGUAGUCCACACACAUCCGCCAGGUGCCGUUCUUCUUAAGCACGAGCACCAGGUUAGCUAACCAUUCUGGAUGAAAAACUUCAACGAUAAACCCGGCCGCCAAGAGCCGGGCUACCUCCUCACCAAUGGCUUUUCGCCUCUCCUCAUUAAACCGCCGGAGGAAUUGCCUGACCGGCUUAAACUUCGAAUCAAUAUUAAGAGUGUGCUCAGCGAGUUCUCUAGGUACACCCGGCAUGUCAGAAGGUUUCCAUGCAAAGAUGUCCUUGUUCUCACGGAUGAACUCGAUAAGCGCGCCUUCCUAUUUCGGAUCCAGAUUGGCACUGAUGAUGAACUGCUGAGAUGAGUCACCUGGAACGAAGUCAACAAGUUUAGUCUCGUCCGCCGACUUGAACUUCGUUGCCGGCUCAUGCUCCGUGGUCGGCUUUUUCAAAGAUGUCAUAUCUGCCGGGUCAACAUUGUCCUUGUAAAACUUCAACUCCUCUGUUGCACAAACAGAUUCUGCAUAAGCCGCGUCACCUUCCUCAUACUCCAAGGCUAUCUUUCGGCUGCCAUGAACCGUAAUGGUCCCAUUGUGACCCGGCAUCUUGAGCUACAAAUACACGUAACACGGCCGUGCCAUGAACUUGGCGUAAGCCAGCCGCCCAAAUAUAGCAUGAUACGGACUUCUUAUCUUAACCACCUCAAAGGUUAAUUUUUCCGCCCUGUAGUUGUACUCAUCUCCAAAAGCCACUUCCAGCUCGAUCUUACCAACUGGAUAUGCCGACUUACCAGGCACCACACCAUGGAAAACAGUAUUGGACUGGCUGAGGUUCUUAUUAAUCAACCCAUACGACGGAAGGUCUCGUAAUAGAGGAUGUUGAUGCAGCUGCCUCCGUCCAUGAGCACUUUAGUGAACUUAUAUCCCCCCACCUGAGGUGCCACCACCAGGGCCAGGUGACCCGGAUUAUCAACCCGGGGUGGGUGAUCUUCCCUACUCCACACAAUAGGCUGCUCAGACCAUCUUAAAUAGCAUGGAACCGCCGGCUCAACAGCAUUCACAGCCCUUUUAUGAAGCUUUUGAUCUCGCUUGCACAGACUGGUGGUAAACACAUGAUACUGUCCACCAUUGAGCUGCUUCGGAUUGGUCUGGUAUCCCCCUGCUGCUGUUGAUGACCCUGGCCGGACUGCUGAUUAAAGCCCCCUUGAACAUUUUGAGGAUUGGAAUUUGAGCCGCCGCCCGGGCCAUGAAAGCCGCCGCCGCCCGAGCCGCCGCCCGAGCCAUUGUUGCCAUUAAAGGCAUUGGAAUUCUUAAAGGCCUUCAUGAUUGCGCAAUCUAUCCAUAGAUAAGUAGCCGGCUUCUCCCUAGAGCCAUGCCUUGGACAAGGCUCAUUCAACAACUGCUCAAGCGUCGGGCCUGACCCGCCGGCUCGGGGAGGUGGCCUCCCUUUACGUCGCUGGUUGUUACCCUAUGAGCUGGCGUUGGCCACAAACUCUAUGCUGCCAUCAGCCUUACGCUUGCUACCUCCUUGGUUCGCCGGGUUAUGCUGAGGACCCUUGCCAUUACCGUUCUUCUUUCCCUUCCCUGUCCUUUCAUCAUCUCACGCGGGGUCCUUGGUACUAUCAGAGUCGGCAUACUUGACGAGAGCCGCCAUCAGCGUACCCAUAUCAUUGCAAUCGCGCUUGAGCCGCCCGAGUUUCAUUUUCAGGGGCAGGAAACGACAAUUCUGCUCCAACAUUAAGACUGCAGAGCCGGCAUCCAUCUUAUCAGAUGAAUGUAUUAUCUCUUUGACCCGACGAACCCAAUGGGUUGUAGACUCACCCUCCUGCUGUUUACAGUUAGUCAAAUCCACAAUUGACAUAGACUGCCUACAGGUAUCUUUGAAGUUUUGUAUGAACCGGGCUUUCAGCUCAGCCCAAGACCCGAUAGAAUUCGGUGGCAGCCCUUUCAACCAAGUGCGGGCAGUCCCAUCUAACAUCAUGGUGAAAUACUUGGCCAUUGCCGCUUCACUGACCUCUAGCAACUCCAUAGCCAUCUCGUAACUCUCGAUCCAUGCUCCGGGUUGCAAAUCAGUUGUGUGUAAUUAGGCACUUUCCUUGGCCCCUUGAAAUCCUUGGGCAGACGUUCGUUACGGAGAGCCGGCACCAGACAAGGAACACCUACAGUCCUCGUAGGUAUACCCACGUCGAUGGAGGCCGUCGGAUAAGCCGGGGGUAGCUGGUAAGCCGUCAACUGAGGCACCUGCUCCGCCUCUUGCCGUGCUUUGUCUUGGUCUACCGCGUGAAAGGCUCCGUUAUGAGCCGGGCCGUGGCCAGGAGGCAAGUCAUGGCGUCGGACAUUACUUGAACCGGUUGCUGAGACCAUGUGUCUGCUAUAACUCGGGCUCCGGCCUGGUCGGGGGGUUGAAUGAAUCCUGUCCCGGCUAUAAGAAUAUGCCUCUUGCUGCGCUAGAGCCGUCUGAAGGAGUUCUCUGACCUGGCGGGUUUCAACCGCCGUUGGAGAGUCACCAUCGAUUGGGAGAGCCGCCAGCCGCGCCGCCGCGGCGACCAUGUUUUCCAACGGGUUGGCAUAAUGACCCGGUGGUAUUGGUACAUACUGAGGCGGGGCAGGGUUCACCCGGGGAGGUCCCAUCACUUGGGGCUGAAUUGGCGUCCCAGCCCCGGGCACUAUGAUCUCUGGCGGGUUACUAGACCCUGCACCCGGCGUGUUGAAGAGGUUUCGAGGAUCGUAAACCGGAGGGAGUCGAGAUUGGGCCUUUUGAUGCCUCCUUCUCAUGGCCUCAUUGGACGCGUUUUGAUCCAUCGUGAGCCGGAAGGACUGUGCCUGAAUCAGCUGAGUCUGGGCGUCGAGAGCCGCCCUCUCUGUAGCCAUCCUGAUCCCCUCCGCCGCCAGAUCCUCCUUGGCUUUUGCUAGAUCCAACUUUAAUUGUGCCACCUCCGCGUCAUGCUGAACUUGAUCCGCCAGGGCAACCAUAGCGGUCAACAGGACCGUCAGCUUGUUAGUGAGAUCCAUCAGCACCCGAGCCGGCGAGGGCACAGGGCUUCCUGACCCGGCGGCGGGGUUUUGAACAGGUUGUGCGCCGGCCAUGAAGAUUCCAACCCGGCUCGGCGGCUCAAAGGGGUCCGGAAUGCUGUCGCCAUCGGAACAACCCCUGAGCCGGCCAUCUUGAAGUUGAUACAACGAGUUUGACUCAUCCGUAGAUGACUCGCUGUCAGAGCCGGCGGCCGUCUCAUCACCAGAUCCGGAUCCUUCAGAGAGUCCUGCAUGGACACAUCCCACGAAAGCAUGCUUCAAGGCAGGUAGAGCCCGGGCGGGUCGUGCACGCUGAGCCGUCUCGAUGAGAUCGGUGCAGAGGUCCGACUCAGGGCUCGUCUCACCAAUCUUGCCAAUGAAGACGUGGAUUCCGCCGAAGGGGACCCGGUACCCGUACUCGAUUGAGCCGGCGUCGGGGCCCCAGUUUGCAUCGUCGAUGUAGAGCUUGCCGCGACGACUCUUGGUCAUCCGGCCCACAGCAUAUCCCUUGAGCCCUUCGAAGCUGCCCUUCAAGAACUGAAGUCCACCGUGCGUCAGCCCCACGGUGGGCGCCAACUGUCGUGGAAUUGUCACGGCAGAUGUCCUCGUGCAAGGACUUAGUCGUGGAGCCAUCGCAACUAGGAAGCUUAAAGGGGUUAAGCGGGACAAGGAACACGAGGGUUAUGCUGGUUCGGCCUCUUACGGUUAAGGUAAAAGCCUACGUCCAGUUGAGGUGGUAUUGAUUAAGGUUUCGAUGACCAGGAGCUAAAACGUCCUGCGUGGUUAUCGAUUUGGUCUACUCGUCCCUAAACCGCCGCCGGGUCGUCCCUUUAUAUAGAGAGGUUGACGCCCAGCGGUUCUCAGAGUCCCGGCCAGCUCAUAACAGUGUCCGGCUCGGACUCUUAACUAUUCUUGCCUUACACUACAAGUUUUGCCAUAACGGCGGUUUAUCACUACGGGCCUUAAGCCAUCUCCGGGUCUUAAGCCCAUCUUUGAUCCGCCGUCUCCAAGUUCGGUACUAGGCUUCACGUGAUGACCAUUAUGACGUAACCCGGCCCCUCCUGGGCGGGUGACCCAAUGGUUAUAUCCUCAACAGAAUGGGCCAAGUCAAUCACAUCAUUCUCCUAAUGAUGUGAUCCCGUUAAUCAAAUGACAACUCAUGUCUAUGGUUAGGAAACUUAACCAUCUUUGAUUAACAAGCUAGUCAAGUAGAGGCACACUAGUGACACUAUGUUUGUCUAUGUAUUCACACAUGUAUUAUGUUUCCGGUUAGUACAAUUCUAGCAUGGAUAAUAAACAUUUAUCAUGAAAUAAGGAAAUAAAUAAUAACUUUAUUAUUGCCUCUAGGGCAUAUUUCCUUCAGUCUCCCACUUGCACUAGAGUCAAUAAUCUAGUUCACAUCGCCAUGUGAUUUAACACCAAUAGUUCACAUCACCAUGUGAUUAACACUCAUAGUACACAUCGUCAUGUGACCAACACCCAAAGGGUUUACUAGAGUCAAUAAUCUAGUUCACAUCGCUAUGUGAUUAACACCCAAAGAGUACUAAGGUGUGAUCAUGUUUUGCUUGUGAGAGAAGUUUAGUCAACGGGUCUGCCACAUUCAGAUCCGUAUGUAUUUUGCAAAUUUCUAUGUCAACAAUGCUCUUCAUGGAGCUACUCUAGCUAAUUGCUCCCACUUUCAAUAUGUAUCCAGAUUGAGACUUAGAGUCAUCUGGAUCAGUGUCAAAAUUUGCAUCGACGUAGCCCUUUACGACAAACCUUUUUGUCACCUCCAUAAUUGAGAAACAUAUCCUUAUUCCACUAAGGAUAAUUUUGACCGCUGUCCAGUGAUCUACUCCUAGAUCACUAUUGUACUCCCUUGCCAAAAUCAGUGUAGGGUAUACAAUAGAUCUGGUACACUGCAUGGCAUACUUUAUAGAACCUAUGGCCAAGGCAUAGGGAAUGACUUUCAUUCUCUUUCUAUCUUCUGCCGUGGUCGGGCUUUGAGUCUUACUCAAUUUCACACCUUGUAACACAGGCAAUAACUCUUUCUUUGACUGUUCCAUUUUGAACUACUUCAAAAUCUUGUCAAGGUAUGUACUCAUUGAAAAAACUUAUCAAGCGUCUUGAUCUAUCUCUAUAGAUCUUGAUGCUCAAUAUGUAAGCAGCUUCUCCGAGGUCUUUCUUUGAAAAACUCCUUUCAAACACUCCUUUAUGCUUUGCAGAAUAAUUCUACAUUAUUUUCGAUCAACAAUAUGUCAUUCACAUAUACUUAUCAGAAAUGCUGUAGUACUCCCACUCACUUUCUUGUAAAUACAGGCUUCACCGCAAGUCCGUAUAAAACUAUAUGCGUUGAUCAUCUUAUCAAAGCGUAUAUUCCAACUACGAGAUGCUUGCACCAGUCCAUAAAAGGAUCACUGGAGCUUGCAUAUUUUGUUAGCACCUUUAGGAUUGACAAAAACCUUCUGGUUGCAUCAUAUACAACUCUUCUUUAAUAAAUCCAUUAAGGAUUGCAGUUUUGUUAUCCAUUUGCCAGAUUUCAUAAAAUGCGGCAAUUGCUAACAUGAUUCGGACAGACUUUAAGCAUCGAUACGAGUGAGAAAAUCUCAUCGUAGUCAACACCUUGAACUUGUCGAAAACCUUUUGCGACAAUUCUAGCUUUGUAGAUAGUAACACUACUAUCCGCGUCCGUCUUCCUCUUGAAGAUCCAUUUAAUCUCAAUGGCUCGCCGAUCAUUGGGCAAGUCAAUCAAAGUCCAUACUUUGUUCUCAUACAUGGAUCCCAUCUCAGAUUUCAUGGCCUCAAGCCAUUUUGCGGAAUCUAGGCUCAUCAUCGCUUCCUCAUAGUUCGUAGGUUCGUCAUGGCCAAGUAACAUGACCUCCAGAACAGGAUUACCGUACCACUCUGGUGCAGAACUCACUCUGGUUGACCUAUGAGGUUCGGUAGUAACUUGAUUUGAACUUACAUGAUCAUUAUCAUUAGCUUCCUCACUAAUUGGUGUAGGAGUCGCAGGAACAAAUUUCUGUGAUGAACUACUUUCCAAUAAGGGAGCAGGUACAGUUACCUCAACAAGUUCUACUUUCCUCCCACUCACUUCUUUCGAGAGAAACUCCUUCUCUAGAAAGGAUCUAUUCUUAGCAACGAAUGUAUUGCCUUCGGAUCUGUGAUAGAAGGUGUACCCAACUGUCUCCUUUGGGUAUCCUAUGAAGACACAUUUCUCCGAUUUGGGUUUGAGCUUUAUCAGGAUGAAACUUUUUCACAUAAGCAUCGCAACCCCAAAUUUUAAGAAACAAAAACUUUGGUUUCUUGCCAAACCACAGUUCAUACGGUGUCGUCUCAACAUAUUUAGAUGGUGCCCCUACUAACAUGAAUGCAGCUGUCUCUAAUGCAUAACCCCAAAACGAUAGUGGUAAAUCGGUAAGAAACAUCAUAGAUUGUACUAUAUUCAAUAAAGUACGGUUAUGACGUUCAGACACACCAUUAUGCUGUGGUGUUCCAGGUGGCAUGAGUUUGUGAAACUAUUCCACAUUGUUUUAAUUGAAGGCCAAACUCGUAACUCAAAUAUUUUCCUCCACGAUCAGAUCGUAGAAACUUUAUUUUCCUGUUACGAUGAUUUUCUACUUCACUCUGAAAUUAUAUGAACUUUUCAAAUGUUUCAGACUUAUGUUUCAUCAAGUAGAUAUACCCAUAUCUGCUCAAAUCAUCUGUGAAGGUCAGAAAAUAAUGAUACCCGCCGCGAGCCUCAACACUCAUCGGAUCGCAUACAUCAGUAUGUAUUAUUUCCAAUAGGUCAGUUGCUCGCUGCAUUGUUCCGGAGAACGGAGUCUUAGUCAUCUUGCCCAUAAGGCAUGGUUCGCGAGCAUCAAGUGAUUCAUAAUCAAGUGAUUCCAAAAUCCCAUCAGCAUGGAGUUUCUUCAUGCGCUUUACUCCAAUAUGACUUAAACGGCAGUGCCACAAAUAAGUUACACUAUCAUUAUUAACUUUGCAUCUUUUGGCUUCAAUAUUAUGAAUAUGUGUAUCACUACGAUAAAGAUCCAACAAACCAUUUUCAUUGGGUGUAUGACCAUAGAAGGUUUUAUUCAUGUAAACAGAACAACAAUUAUUCUCUAACUUAAAUGAAUAACCAUGUUGCAAUAAACAUGAUCAAAUCAUAUUCAUGCUCAACGCAAACACCAAAUAACACUUAUUUAGGUUCAACACUAAUCUCGAAAGUACAGGGAGUGUGCGAUGAUGAUCAUAUCAAUCUUGGAACUACUUCCAACACACAUCGUCACCUCGCCCUUAACUAGUUUCUGUUCAUUCUGCAAUUCCCGUUUCGAGUUACUACCCUUAGCAACUGAACCAGUAUCAAAUACCGAGGGUUGCUACGAACACUAGUAAAAUACACAUCAAUAAUGUAUAUCAAAUAUAGCUUGUUCACUUUGUCAUCCUUCUUGUCCGCCAAAUACUUGGGGUGGUUUUGCUUCUAGUGACCAGUCCCUUUGCAGUAGAACCACUUAGUCUCAGGCUUAGGUCCGGACUUGGGCUUCUUCACUUGAGCAGCAACUUGCUUGCCGUUCUUCUUGAAGUUCCCCUUCUUCCCUUUGUCCUUUUUCUCUUGAAACUAGUGGUCUUGUCAACCAUCAACACUUGAUGUUUUUUCAUGAUUUCUACCUUCGCCGAUUUUAGCAUCGCGAAGAGCUUGGGAAUUGUUUUCGUCAUCCCUUGCAUAUUAUAGUUCAUCACAAAGUUCUACUAACUUGGUGAUGGUGACUAGAGAAUUUUGUCAAUCACUAUUUUAUCUGGAAGAUUAACUCCCACUUGAUUCAAGCGAUUGUAGUACCCAGGCAAUCUGAGCACAUGCUCACUGCUUGAGCUAUUCUCCUCCAUCUUUUAGCUAUAGAACUUGUUGGAGACUUCAUAUCUCUCAACUCGGGUAUUUGCUUGAAAUAUUAACUUCAACUCCUGGAACAUCUCAUAUGGUCCAUGACGUUCAAAACGUCUUUGAAGUCCCGAUUCUAAGCCGUUUAAGCAUGGUGCACUAAACUAUCAAAUAGUCAUCAUAUUGAGCUAGCCAAACGUUCAUAACGUCUGCAUCUGCUCCUGCAAUAGGUCUAUCACCUAGCGGUGCAUCAAGGACAUAAUUCUUCUGUGCAGCAAUGAGGAUAAUCCUCAGAUCACGGAUCCAAUCCGCAUCAUUGCUACUAACAUCUUUCAACUCAGUUUUCUCUAGGAACAUAUCAAAAUAAAGCAGGGGAGCUAAACGCGAGCUAUUGAUCUACAACAUAGAUAUGCUAAUACUACCAGGACUAAGUUUAUGAUAAAUUAAAGUUCAAUUAAUCAUAUUACUUAAGAACUCCCACUUAGAUAGACAUCCCUGUAAUCCUCUAAGUGAUCACGUGAUCCAAAUCAACUAAACCAUGUCCGAUCAUCACGUGAGAUGGAGUAGUUUCAGUGUUCCGAGGCCAUAUCUGUUAUAUGCUAGGCUCGUCAAGCUUAACCUGAGUAUUCCGCGUGUGCAACUGUUUUGCACCUGUUGUAUUUGAACGUAGAGCCUAUCACACCCGAUCAUCACGUGGUGUCUCAGCACGAAGAACUUUCGCAACGGUGCAUACUCAGGGAGAACACUUAUACUUUGAUAAUUUAGUGAGAGAUCAUCUUAUAAUGCUACCGUCAAUCAAAGCAAGAUAAGAUGCAUAAAAGAUAAACAUCACAUGCAAUCAAUAUAAGUGAUAUGAUAUGGCCAUCAUCAUCUUGUGCUUGUGAUCUCCAUCUCCGAAGCACCGUCAUGAUCACCAUCGUCACCGGCGCGACACCUUGAUCUCCAUCGUAGCAUCGUUUUUGUCUCGCCAAUCUUAUGCUUCUACGACUAUCGCUACCGCUUAGUGAUAAAGUAAAGCAUUACAGGGUAAUUGCAUUGCAUACAAUAAAGCGACAACCAUAUGUCUCCUGCCAGUUGUGAUAACUCGGUUACAAAACAUGAUCAUCUCAUACAAUAAAAUUUAGCAUUAUGCCUUGACCAUAUCACAUCACAACAUGCCCUGCAAAAACAAGUUAGACGUCCUCUACUUUGUUGUUGCAAAUUUUACGUGGCUGCUACCGGCUUAGCAAGAACCGUUCUUACCUAUGCAUCAAAACCACAACGAUAGUUUGUCAAGUUGGUGCUGUUUUAACCUUCGCAAGGACCGGGCGUAGCCACACUCGGCUCAACUAAAGUUGGAGAAACUGACACCCGCCAGCCACCUGGGUGCAAAGCACGUCGGUAGAACCAGUCUCGCGUAAGCGUACGCGUAAUGUCGGUCCGGGCCGCUUCAUCCAACAAUACCGCCGAACCAAAAUAUGACAUGCUGGUAAGCAGUAUGACUUAUAUCGCCCACAAAUCACUUGUGUUCUAGUAGUGCAUAUGACAUCUACCCAUAAAACCAGGCUCUGAUGCCACUGUUGGGGAACAUAGUAAUUUCAAAAAAAAAUCCUACGCACACGCAAGAUCAUGGUGAUACAUAGCAAUGAGAGGGGAGAGUGUUGUCCACGUACCCUCGUAGACCGAAAGCAAAAGCGUUAGCACAACGUGGUUGAUGUAGUCGUACGUCUUCACGAUCUGACCGAUCAAGUACCGAACGCACGGCACCUCCGAGUUCAGCACACAUUCAGCCCGAUGACGUCCCUCGAACUCCGAAACAGCCGAGUGUUGAGGGAGAGUUUCGUCAGCAUGACGGCGUGGUGACGAUGAUGAUGUUCUACCGACGCAGGGCUUCGCCUAAGCACCGCUACAGUAUUAUCAAGGUGGACUAUGGUGGAGGGGGGCACCGCACAUGGCUAAAAGAUCAAGAGAUCAGUUGUUGUGUCUCUGGGGUGCCCCCUGCCCCUGUAUAUAAAGGAGCAAGGGGGGAGAGGCAGCCGGCCAGGAGAGGGGCGCGCCAGGAGGAGUCCUACUCCCACCGGGAGUAGGACUCCCUCCCUUCCUUGUUGGAUUAGGAGAAGGGGGAAAGAGGAGGAGGAGAAGAAGGAAAAGGGGGGCGCUGCCCCCCUCCUUGUCCAAUUCGAACUAGAGGGGGAGGGGGCACGUGGCCUGCCCUGGCCGCCCCUCCUCUUCCCCACUAAGGCCCAUGUAGGCCCAUUAAUCCCCCGGGGGGGUUCCGGUAACCCCCGGUACUCCGGUAUAUAUCCGAUAACCCCCGGAACCAUUCCGGUGUCCGAAUAUAGUCGUCCAAUAUAUAAAUCUUCAUGUCUCAACCAUUUCGAGACCCCUCGUCAUGUCCGUGAUCACAUCCGGGAUUCCGAACAACCUUUGGUACAUCAAAACAUAUAAACUCAUAAUAUAACUGUCAUCGAAACUUUAAGCGUGCGGACUCUACGGGUUCGAGAACUAUGUAGACAUAACCGAGACACGUUUCCGGUCAAUAACCAAUAGCGGAACCUAGAUGCUCAUAUUGGCUCCCACAUAUUCUACGAAGAUCUUUAUCGGUCAGACCGCAUAACAACAUACGUUGUUCCCUUUGUCAUCGGUAUGUUACUUGCCCGAGAUUCGAUCAUCAGUAUCUCAAUACCUAGUUCAAUCUCGUUACCGACAAGUCUCUUUACUCGUUCCGUAAUACAUCAUCCCACAACUAACUCAUUUGUUGCAAUACUUGCAAGGCUUAAGUGAUGUGCAUUACCGAGUGGGCCCAGAGAUACCUCUUCGACAAUCGGAGUGACAAAUACUAAUCUCGAAAUACGCCAACCCAACAAGUACCUUCGGAGACACCUGUAGAGCACCUUUAUAAUCACCCAUUUACGUUGUGACGUUUGGUAGCACACAAAGUGUUCCUCCGGUAAACGGGAGUUGCAUAAUCUCAUAGUCAUAGGAACAUGUAUAAGUCAUGAAGAAAGCAAUAGUAGAAUACUAAACGAUCGUGUGCUAAGCUAACGGAAUGGGUCAAGUCAAUCACAUCAUUCUUCUAAUGAUGUGAUCCCGUUAAUCAAAUGACAACUCAUGUCUAUGAUUAGGAAACUUAACCAUCUUUGAUUAACGAGCUAGUCAAGUAGAGGCACACUAGUGACACUAUGUUUGUCUAUGUAUUCACACAUGUAUUAUCUUUCCUGUUAAUACAAUUCUAGCAUGAAUAAUAAACAUUUAUCAUGAAAUAAGGAAAUAAAUAAUAACUUUAUUAUUGCCUCUAGGGCAUAUUUCCUUCACCUAUGUGCUCGGCCGUCAAUGUUUGACCGUAUGACCAUUGACUAUUGACAUUUUGGAAAACUAGGGUUGGUUUUUCUAAAACUGAUAAAUGUUCAUGAAUUCUCAAAAAAGUUCAAGACUCCAAAUCUUUCACGAAUUUGAAAAAGUUUCAACGAUUUGGAAAAUAUUUAUAGAUCGAGAAAAAGUUCACAAAUUUGAAAAUUCACCAACUAGAAAAAUGUUUAUGAAUAUGAGAAAUGUUAACAAAUUUGAAAAAGUACAUGAUUUUACAAAAGUUCACCAAUUUGAAAAAAUGGUCGCGGAUUUGAAAAAUGUUCAUGAAUUGAAAAAAAAUGUCCGAGACUUAAAAAAGUUCACAAAUUUGAAAAAGGUUAACCAGUUUUAAAAAAACAUGAAUUGAGAAAAAAAAUCAUUAAUUUGAAAAAUCUCGCUAAUUGAAAAGUGUUGACGAAUUUGAGAACUGUUUGUGGACUUAAAAAAUCAUAGAUAUGAAAAACUGCACAAAAUUAAAAAAUGUUCAUGGACUAAAAAAAGGUUCAUCAAUUUGAAAAAAAAUUAGGAAUUUUAAAAUGUUCAUGACUAUGAAGAAAAUGAAGAGCUUAAAAAAUGUUCAUUGGUUCAAAAAAUAAAUUCAUGAAUUUAAAAAUAGUAAAAGAAAAAGGGAAACGGACAAAAUUGGGUCAAAAAACCAAGAACAAAAAACCGCUUUGGAGGUGCUCGAAAAUCUAAAUAAGGGAAUAAAUGUGUGUUGUGUAGGGUUUUCAAUUCAAUGGGCGCUUAAGGCGUCGGAUAUGAGUUGGAACCCGAACCAAUGUAUGUUUAGGCCCGCCUUCUUCUGCUUUUUUACUAGUAUAAAUUGCUGGCCUUUUGGGAGGUUAUGCACCCGAUGGGAUGCUCCCGUGCUGACAUGUGUUACACACAAAGCGUCUCGCAUGCAAGGUUUCCUUACGAUUUAAUUAUUUUUCGGUCUUGUUUACAUGUGUACAGUGUAUUGUUUUUACUUGUAUUUUUAGAUGGUUUUAUUUUCACUUUCUAUAAGUUUUACUUUCUCGGUGCACUACGGAUGUAUUUACCCGUGCCUAUGUUUUUUUAAUGUAAUGUCUGUGUAAUUAUCUAUGCACAAUACUUCAAAACUUUACUGCUGCAAUGCGUGUACACUAACACACAAAAUUACACGUACAUACAAUGAAAAACGAAGUACACAUGUACUACCUCCAUCUUAUGACACUCAAAUGAAUGUCUUUUUUGAUGAAUGCGCAUGGUUGCGUAUCAUUUCGUUGAUAGGGUGGGGUGAAAGUACAGGGUGUAGCUCUAGGGGGCGUGCACGCUAUGGCGUCCCCUAGAGUGCUAGAAGAGCGGAGAGGAGGAUGCUCAGCCUCUCAUACAAGUUUCAUGUUACAAGAAUAAUGGUUUCAAGACUUUUAGCCCCUGCACGAGCCUCAUCUUUGAUUGUGCGGGCGAGAUCGUUGUUUGAUGGUUGGGUAUUGUCGAAGACGGCUGCGUUUCGGUGUUUCCAGAUGGACUAGACAGUGAGGGCGGUGAGGGAGUUGGUUCCCUUGCGGAUGUGUGCCGGAGCCGAGUUGUUGAUCGUAGACCACCAGGUGAAGAAGCCGUCGGUCGAGCUCGGGAUGGGCACUGGUAGUCGACACCAAGAUAGGAUCUCGUGCCAAGUUAUCCUGGAGAAGACGCACCAUGCAAGCAGGUGGUCUAGGGUUUCCGGUUCCUGGCAGCAAAGUUUUCAGAGGGGAUCAUGUGGCAGGCCGUGACGUGCGCGGCGCUCAGCAAUCCAACAACGGUCCAGGGAUGCAAGCCAGAGGAAGAAUUUGGCUUCGGUCGGUGCCCAUGAUUGCCAUACAAGGCGCCAGUGUGGUGCGGUGGUUGAUCCGCGGUACAGAGCCUGGUAAGCGGAGUGCACCGAAUACCUCCCAUUCUCGGUCCACUUCCCGGUGAUCCUGUCCGGCUCGGCGGAGAGCUCGGUGCGCUAGAUGCGCCGCCAGAGGUCCACAUACUCAACGGCGGCCGUGGCCCAAGGCUCCACUGAUAUCCCCGAUCCAGGUGGAGUUCUGCAGGGCGUCGCAGACAAGACGCUGGCGGUGUCGACGGCGCAUGAGGAGGGAAAGCAGGGACGGGGCGAUCUCGGCAACUGAGGAGCCAUCGAUCCAGUGAUCAAUCCAGAAGCGGCAGGCGGUUGAUGCACGAAAGAACCGACUUGUCUCCUUGUCGAUCUGCAGCUGGAGGUGGCUCCAUGGCUGCUCGGGGUCGAUGGCUUGGAGCCAGAGCCAGCGGCAGCGCAGGGCGAUGCCCGUGCGGUGGAGGUCGCACACCACGAGGCCACCAUACUUGAGUGGGCGGGAGAGCUUUGGCCGGCUGACGAAGCAGCACCCAUGCUUGGCAUCCUUGCGGCCAUGCCACAGGAAAUCGCGUACCACCGUUGUGAUCUUCUUGAGGAUCGUGGGGUUUAGAGCCAUGGCGAGGAGGAUGUGCACGGGCAUGGCGAUGAUCACAUGACGCACCAGGGCGAGCCGCUCGGGGUGCGAGAGGAGAGAAGCUUUCCAAGUGACAAGCUUCUUGGCUAGCCGGUCAACCAGAGGGAGUAGCGCGGAAGUAGGGCACUUGCGGAUAGUGAGUGGCAGACCAAGGUAAGGAAUAGGGAAACCUUCAACAGCGCAGGAAAGCUCCAUGGCAAUCGCGGUGUUGACCUCGACCGUGCAUCGGAUAGUAGAUGCGGAGCAUUUGGCGAAGUUGGUGCGCAGGCCGGAGGCGUCGCCAAAUACCGGCAGGAGCUCGCGGAUGGUGGCAAGCUCGACGGGAUCGGGGUGGCAGAAGAUGACGACAUCGUCAGCGGAUAGCGAGAUGCUAGACGCCGCAUGCCUCUCGGUGAGGCGCCGCAGUACGCCGGCAGACACGGCAUGCUGGAAGAGAGAGUUCAGAGUGUCGAUGACGAGGGCGAAGAGCAUGGGCGAGACCGAAUCGCCCUGGUGCAGCCCACACGCGUGAUCCACGGGAGGCCCUUGGUUGCCAUUGAUCAGGACUCGGGUAGAUGCAGUGGACGUGAGGAUGGAGACCCACUCGCACCAACAUCGACCAAAGCCAAGAUGUGCCAGGAUUUCAAGGAGGAAGGGCCAGGAGACCGUAUCGAAGGCCUUGGCAAUGUCGAGCUUGAGAAGAACUCUCGGUGCCUUGGAGUUGUGGAGGAAUCGGGCCGUCUGCUGAACCAGCAGGAAGUUAUCGUGCAUGCACCGGCUGGCGAUGAAUGCACUUUGGUUGGCGGAGAUGAUCUCCCCCAUCCUUGGGGCGAGACGCAACGAGAGCACCUUGGCGAACAAUUUGGCGAUGAUGUGGAUCAGACUAAUGGGCCAGUAGUUCGUGAUCGCGUGGGCAUCAGGUUUCUUGGGCAGUAGGAUGAGUAGGGCCUCGUUUAGCUUGUGAAAACCCUACCCGUUCAUGGAAUAGAGCUUGUCGAAGGCCUCAUAGAUGUCGGCCUUGAUGAUGGGCCAACAUGCCCGGAGGAAGUCGGAGGUGAAUCCGUCUGGCCCGGGCGCCUUGCCCAUUGGCAUUUUCUUGAUGGCCUCCCAAAUCUCCUACUCGGAGAAUGGAUUGUCGAGCUCGAGUAGGUCGAAGCUUCUGUGGUUGAUGGCGUCGAGGCUGAUGGAAUGAGUGCGCGCAGUAGCGGCCCCUAGGAUGGAUGGGAAGUGCUCGUACGCUGCCUGGGACAUGGCAGCCGCAUCAGUGAUGUCUUCGCCGCGCACCCGAAGACUGAGAAUGCACUUCUUUUGACUUCUGUGGGCGGCGUGCAUCUUAUGGAAUGCAGAGUUGGUGGCUUCCUCCUUCAGCCAUCAGAAACGAAUGCGUUCGCGCAUGAGGGAUCGCUCAAGUGAGGCCAGGCCCACGUAUUUCCGUUUAAGCUCGCGCCGGAGCCAUGCUUCAGCGGGGGAGAGAGGCCGAUGAUCUUGCGCCAUGUCAAGGCGGUAUAUGAGCUCACGAGCCGUGGCGAGCUGGGAAGAGAUGUGGCCAACGGAUCAGGAGCCCCAGCUCUGCAGUUNNNNNNNNNNNNNNNNNNNNNNNNNNNNNNNNNNNNNNNNNNNNNNNNNNNNNNNNNNNNNNNNNNNNNNNNNNNNNNNNNNNNNNNNNNNNNNNNNNNNNNNNNNNNNNNNNNNNNNNNNNNNNNNNNNNNNNNNNNNNNNNNNNNNNNNNNNNNNNNNNNNNNNNNNNNNNNNNNNNNNNNNNNNNNNNNNNNNNNNNNNNNNNNNNNNNNNNNNNNNNNNNNNNNNNNNNNNNNNNNNNNNNNNNNNNNNNNNNNNNNNNNNNNNNNNNNNNNNNNNNNNNNNNNNNNNNNNNNNNNNNNNNNNNNNNNNNNNNNNNNNNNNNNNNNNNNNNNNNNNNNNNNNNNNNNNNNNNNNNCCAUGCCGCGUCCACCGUUGACAUGAAACCAUCAAGUUUAGUCCAAAAGCGCUCGAAGUGGAAACGUUGUUUUCCCAAAGUGUGAAGAGAGCAAUCGACGACCAAGGGGCAAUGGUUGGAGGCCGCGGAGGCAAGGCGGCGCAGGAAGUGAUGGGGUUGGCCCGUCACCCAGGAGGUAGUGCACAGGACGCGGUCGUUGCGGACGAGGGUAGGGUUCUGCUGCUCAUUAGACCAUGUGUAGCGUCGCCCAUGCAUGUAUAUGUCGCGCAAGGCGUGGUCAGCGAUGAAGCACCAGAAACGAUUGGUCGUACGCUGGUUGAUACAGCCGUUGCUCGUGUCCGCGGAUGUGGUGACCAUGUUGAAAUCGCCCCCGAGCAGCUAGGGCCCGGCCAUGGUGGCGCGAAGCUCAUGGAGCUCGUUAAGGAAAGCCAUCUUGUCAUCGUCGGACUGAGGACCAUACACGCCGGUAAUCCACCAGGGAUGCUUGCCUGAUGGGGUGGAUACCACGGCGGAGACAUGGUAGGAGCCUAUGGAGGGGCUAGAGAGAUUGACGUGGUCGAUCCGCCACGCAAGAAGAAUGCCUCCCCUCGUCCCCGUGGCCGGUAAGCAGUAGAAGUCACUGAAGAGAGAGCCGAGCGUCUUGAGGGUGACCGCGGGCGUGACAAGAUCUAGCUUGGUCUCCGAGAGACACACGAUGGAAGGAGAGGCAUCAGUGAUGAUGGUCCGGAUUUAGCCCACGGACGUUCCAGAAUAUUAUCUUAAGAUUUUCAUCCAUAGGAAAGGGGGAUACACGGUGGGACAAGGCGGAGAGAAGAUCAGAUCUCGACCAGCCUCUGCUGGGCCGAAGCCGUGCCGUCAAACAGUCCGGGCGGGACGUGCCAUCCAUAAAAGUCUGCGAAGGCCUGAACUAACUCAGCAGCGAGAGGGUGGUCGAAGAGGCGCGUGUACUUCUCCAGCACAGCCGCGGAAACAGGCGCGUCGUCCUCGAGAAGACCCAGGCGGCAGAGAAGGACCCGUUUUGCUUUGGUCUCAGAGUCGAGGCCUUUGUCAUGCAUGGCGAUAUGUCCACUGCGCCUCGGUGUGAAGUUGGGAGGUAGCUCAACGCGCUUGCGGCGGGCGGGUGGCGUCGGCAAGAUGGGGUUCACUGUGGUCCGGAGGUCACCAAUGUAGUCCAGGACGUGCUGGGGCAUAGGGUAGGAGGCUUGCUCAUUAGACGUGGGCGCGGGAAGUUGCAUGGCCAAAGGGGGGUUGGCAACACUGGUGGCGACAUGCAGCGUGCAUGGGGUGGCGUCCAUCCCGCCUAGCUGGGCCGAGGGAUCGGGGGUGGGCCAGCCGCUAUCGAGGAGGCCCCCGCAGCCUGCCCCACCGGGUCAUCUGUAGUGGCUGGCGGGGAGGGAAGCGCUUGGCUAGACAUUGGCUAGAUGACCAGCUACUGGGGCGUGGGGGAGAUCACCUAGGGACCCGCAGGGGGGUCCUCCACGACCAGAUCAGAAGGCUCAGGAUCACUAAAAGGGCAAGCAUCAAAAUCUUUGGCAGGCAGGUCGGGGAUGCUGCCAAGCAGCGAUGGGCUGGAGGGGUGCAGAGAUGAAUCAGCUGCUGCGUUUUUGUCUGGGGGAGGCAUCAACAAUAGCAGCGGGGACAGGGAGCAUCUGGGGGAUCCAAGGCCGUCUCGACCAAUGGCUGGCCGCUACAAUCGGAGGUGGAUGGGCUGGUCAGCGUCCCAGUUUGAACGGCCACGACCGGGUCGACAGCUGUUGCUUGGACUGUAGCGGAAGCCACAGUNNNNNNNNNNNNNNNNNNNNNNNNNNNNNNNNNNNNNNNNNNNNNNNNNNNNNNNNNNNNNNNNNNNNNNNNNNNNNNNNNNNNNNNNNNNNNNNNNNNNNNNNNNNNNNNNNNNNNNNNNNNNNNNNNNNNNNNNNNNNNNNNNNNNNNNNNNNNNNNNNNNNNNNNNNNNNNNNNNNNNNNNNNNNNNNNNNNNNNNNNNNNNNNNNNNNNNNNNNNNNNNNNNNNNNNNNNNNNNNNNNNNNNNNNNNNNNNNNNNNNNNNNNNNNNNNNNNNNNNNNNNNNNNNNNNNNNNNNNNGAGCUGUGGCCAUGGCCUCGGGCCGGUCGAGAACCUCCAGAGGGCGGGAAGUCGUGCCGGCGCGACCACGCAUCCGGGCAGGGGGGAGCCGAGCUCAGCAGCGCCGCCGUCGCCGGAGGCGGGAGGGGCCGGUGGUGGUUAACGGCCGGGAAGGCGGAAAUCUGCAAAUUGUCGGACGUGGAUGGAGACAGGAAACGCAACAGCUCGACAGCGAAACGGUCGACGAGGUUGGGGUCGGCGUCUGCGAAGGCGUAAGGCUCAGUCAGCACAAGCUUGGAGGGCCACGGGAUCGCGUCGGGGUCGGCAGUCUAGGCAGAGAGUCGAAAAACGGACAUGUCGCUGCCGUCUAGGGUUUCCGGCGCGAGCCGCUCGAUGAGGCAAAACGGCGACCGCAACGGGAUGGCGGAGGAAAUGUCCCAGCCAUGCUUUGUGAUUCCAGUGAUCUCAAUGUCGACGGAGAUGCGCAGGGUGAUGGGCUCAGCACCGGCUCCAUGGGUGAAGGAUGAGGCAAAACCGGGAGGCGUGGAAGGGGGCCGCGACCACACGCACAUGGGUAGCAACGUCCGUGAACCGUGGGAGGAACUCACCAUCACGACAGCGAUGGACCGAAAACGCGUCCGGGCCAAGACGGAAGCGCGCGGAGAGCUCAUCCGCAAUGUCAGUGUCAGAGACGCCUUGUCAGUUUCCAGCGACCAUGGCGACGAGGGCCAGGCCGAGGGCGCGCUCGGCCUCCUCAAGACGCACGAUGCGUGGCAUGUAGCAGACUGCGCCAGCCGGACGGAGCGCAAGGUGGCCCGACAUGGCGAUGGCCGCAGAGGCAGGGCCUGCCGCGCCGGAGGAGGCAGGCAGGGAGGGGGGGCUGGAGAUUGGGGCGGAUGGCGACGGGGUGUCGGUGUACAAAAGUAGGGGUCCUUUUUUACCCCUUUACUUGUUCGCGGGCAGUCGCAGUCACAUGCUUAAGGCCGCGCUUGGCAGGGCAGAAGAGGAAGCAAAGACACAAGACUACCAGAGCAACGCCAAGACAGAGGCGCGAGGAGCGAAGGGACAAGGUGGGCUCUCCCCGACAGGAGCCUUGCCGGGGCAGCUUACGUAGCCCCGGCAAGGGCCUUUGCCGGGGCAACUUGCCCAACACCAGCAGAGCCGCCACCCUCGAGCCUAAGAGUUCCGACACCAUCGACAACAUUGGAACCAAGGCUCGGGAGGCGCCUGCAUGGUGGCAUGCAGAUCUUUGUGAAGACCAAGGACAUAGAAUACUAGAUGAGAACCAGAACACGGAAACCCCAGCAAGGACGCUCACAAGACCCCCGGCAAGACCCUUGCCGGGGAUGCCUGUGAGACCCCGGCAAGGCCCUUGCCGGGGCCCGCGGCAAGACCCUUGUCGGAGAAAUCUGCGGGGCCGCAGCCAGGCCCCCACCUGCCAAGGCUCCACCGCCGUUUCAAUACAGCAGUCAACCCGCCAACAUGGCAGGCACCCGCGUGGCGACGUGCAGCUUCCAGGCCAACUCAGCAAGCACCUACGUGGUGCCAUGCAGAUCUUCGUGAAGACUCUGCCACCGCGCCAACUCAGCAGCCAGCCAGCCAGCAUGGCGCUGCACGCCUAGUCAGCCUGGACACGCGUUGGAGCGAGGCGAGGCGGCGACGGACGAGACGAGUUUCCUUGCCAUCCCCGAUAAAGUAAGAGGGCACGUCGGCAGCGCAUUAAUUGCAUUGUCACGUUUCCUACUGGGCGUAGGGUGCAUACGUACAAAGAAAGAUCAAUACAAGAAGAUAGCAUGUUUCAUCUUAAAGUACUACAAAGUUAUAUUACAUCAAUGGUUGCUAUGGUUCUAACUUAAGAUAAAAUCGUCUUGGCAUGAACUCGCAGCGACAAAUGAGGAACGGGGUGCCUAGUCUCGGCGCUGGCCCUCCACCCUCCUGACUCCAUCAACACGGCUGAUGAUGGGCUCGAUAUGCUCCUCGAGCACCGCGAGGUCCACAUCCUCCGGCAAGCUCUCCAGCGCAUCGGCAAGACGUUGGGGUUCCAGUACGCCACCUUGAUGAGGACCUUGGUCAGGGCGCCCCGGCAGAGCUUCCGGACCUCAAUGGCCAGAGAGGUCGCUCGGUUGGAACGGAACUGCUCCAGGGCGUCGAGGACGCCCUCGAAGAACAGGGUCAGCCUGGCGUUGGGGCUCACGUUCGGCUCCUGAGAGUACCUGAUGUUCGGUAUCCCCAUGGCAGCCAGCUCCGUGGUGAUCUUGCCGGCGACGUUGACGAGGCGGCUGAUCCAGAGGUUUACGCCCUUCGCGUACUCCUCGUACUCGGCGGCACCAUCCCUCCGCAGCCGCUUCUCAUCCUAUAGGGCCUUGUUCAGGGUCUCCUCACAAGCCCCGGCCUACGAAAUCCAGCUUCAACUUCAGAUCAUUGAUGGAGUCGUUGGCCUCGGAGAGCAGCUUGGCCUUGUUGGAGAUGGCGGCCUGCGCAUCCGCCAGAGUGCGGGUGGCCGCGUCCCUCUCCUCCGUCGGCGCCGAGACUCUCUUCUUCAGCUCCUCCCGCUCCAGCUCCAGCUCCUUCACCUUGCCGGCAUGGACUAGGGCCUGAGCAUCGAGUGCCUCCUUGUGCCUCUGCCCCAGCUCCUGGGUCCACUGCGCGACGAGCUUCUCGACCUCCUCAUCCUUGCCACGGAGUGUGGCGGCGAGCGCCUCCUCACAGGCGGGAAGCUCCUCCUCCUGGGAGUUCAGUAGAGCCUGGUGCUGUUGCCGAGCGGCCUCGUCCUUGGCGGCCUGUUCCUUCGCCACCUCCUGGGCCUUCUCGACGUCAGCCUGCUUCAGGAUGAGCUCCCGUUUGUGCUCAGCCAUCUCACCCUGGGCAGCCUUCAGUUCUUCCUGAGCCUCGCGGAACCAGGCCUCCGUCUGAGCGACGCUCUCCUCAAGAUCUACCUCCGCCUUGUCCGUUGCCGCCAUCCUGGACUUCGCCUUGUCUAGGCGGGCACGGUGGAGCGCCUAGAGCUUCUGGAAGUUGACACUCAUGGCCCGGAGAAGCUGCUCCUCUUGGGAACCGCCACCGCUGGCGCUCGGUUCAUUAACAACCUGAAGCCCGGCGGUGGCGAGCGCCUCGUCGUCGAACACCUCCCCCUCGGUUGGCGCCCUGGUGCUCGCCGUCCCUGGGAGAUAGACGAACAGGUCGUCGCCCACCUUCAAGUACUUGCCCGGGCCAGGAGCUGUAGGGGAGGAAGGUUGGUCGUCAGCCACCCCCUCCCCGGCAGGCCCCUUGGUAGCAUCCUCAGCAGCGGUCUUGGCGGCCUCCUCGGCAGCAAUCUUGUCGGCCUCGGCCUCGGCGUCCUUGGCGACCUCCUCUAUGACGGUAUCAAUAUCCUCCUGGUCCGCCGAGGGAGGGUUUGGAUACCGAGAAGGAGAACGAGACGGGGCCAAAAUCAAGGUUCAAGAAGAAGAAGAAAAGACAGGGACAUGAGGCAGGCCACGUACCCGCGCCAAGCUAGGAAGAAGUGUUUCCCUCCCCGCCACGUUCGUUGUCGGGAUGGAGCCACUGCUGCCCAAGUUUGCCUCCUCCUCCGCCGUGCACGUGGGCUCGGUGCUUGGUGCCCUUGUCGGGGACGCCCCUCUGGGUAGCGUGGUUGACGGGGGCAGCGUGUUGGGGUGGCCCUCAGUGGCUCCUCCUGCUGCCGCUCUCCUCCUGCGAACCCGGCAAGAUCAGCACCAAGGGAUCGUGCCCCAACACACACCAACGGGAAGUGAGUAGUGAACUCACGAUCGGGGCUGAAGCGGGGGCUGCGUCGGGGGCUGUCGUCCGGGAUGAUCACCACCAACUCCUGCGUGCACGGAGUACUCGCCGGGGGCUUGUCGCCCGUCGAGGCCCUGGCCCUCUUCGCCACCCUAUGGGCCAACGUCUUCGUGUCCCUGUGAGGAUAACAUCAAGAUAAAGAAGGAUAGCACAGGGGUGGGGCCGGGAGAUGAUGGAGGGUGAAGUCCUUACUCGUCCUCCGCCUCCUCUUCCACUAGCCUCCUCUUCCUCUUCGGAUUGAAGGACCCGAGGUCAAAAUUAACCUCCGAGGUGCCAUCCGAAGGAGAAGGAGAAGGGGAUGGGGUCCGGCGCAGCUUGGAUGAGGAGGAAGCGGUCACCUUCUUCUUCGCUACCGCGGUUUUCACCGCCUUCUUCGCUGUCGUGGCCUUCGUCACCGCGGCUCUCGUCUGGCGCACUGACUGCUCCUGGGCCAGUUGCCGCUGCACGGUCCUGCCGGGCCGGACCGGCUCACCGGAGCUGGCCCGCUGCAGGACGCGCCUCUUCUCUAUGGCCGAGGGGUCGACAGACUUGGCCUCUUCUUCAGUCAACUCCUCGACUACGUCUUCAACGAGGGGGCCCGGUGCCGGCGCUGCUGGCCUCCCCAGCAGACUCCGCCCAUCCGGCGAGCUCUUUCUCCUCCGCGGCCGCGUCGGCCUCAUCCUCCACGAUGCUGGCGCUGCCAGCCUCCUUGGCGAGCGCCGCAUCCGCCGCCCUAGUGGCGUUGUAGUCCAGCUCCUCCUUGGUGGUGUCGCGGAUGAGCAGCGGCUCAUAACGGACAUAAUUCUCCGACAAGUUGUCGAAGAACGCCUGCGCCUCUUCCGCUUUCGGCUCAACCCAGAGCGGAUCGAGGCCGUGUGCGUUGAAGUCCGGCAUCAUGGCAAUGAUGGCGGUCUGGUGAGAGUUGUUGCUCAACAGGACCACGCCCGCCGGCAACCCAAACAUAGACGCCUUGACGGCCUUGCCGGCCUUCUCGGCUCUGCCGGUCCUCUCAGCCCUGCCGUCAUCACUCACCAUGAGCUGGAAGAACCUCUGGCAGAAGUGAGCAUGCCCCAUCACCGUGAAGUUGUGCUUCAAGCCAGGGCGGAGCCUCAUGACGUCGGCCGCGUUCUUGUAGUCCCAGGCCGGCCUCCCCUUGUUGUGCAGUGGGGUAAUCCGGCGGCGGAUGAAAUCAGCCCCGAUCAUUUCGAGGGUGAGCCCGGCCACGGUGAGGUGGUUGAUCCUGGUGGUGGCAACCGAGAGCUUCUUGUCAUUGGCAUCGAGGUCGCUCCAGUCCUUGCGGCGGACCGGCGAACCCGGCAGAACUCCCGUGGAUCCUUCUCCUCGAUCCAGCACCACCGGCUUCGCCACUCGUCCCACCUCUCCUACUGGGCACCCUCCGGAUACGUGCCCUUCUCCUGAGACCUCGGGAUCCAGGUGAUGUAGCUGGAGAUGGCGCCCCCUGACUGGAUGCGAGGGUAGAAGUAGUGGCGGAAGAGCGUGCUGGGGCGCACUCCGGUGAAGCCCUCGCGGAGAUGGGCGAAGAGGGCCAUGCACGCCACGGCAUUCGGCGUAAGAUCCAAAAGAUGGAAGUCGUAGGUGUGCAUGACAUCGUUGAAGAAAUCAGAGAAAGGGGGGCAGAGCCCGCAAGAGAAGUAGUCAAUGAAGAAGGGGUACCGAUUUGGGCCGGCCUUGGCAAAAUCGGCAGGGACGAUGCGCAUGGCGGGGUGCCCCGUCAUCUCCCUCCCCCACAGGGGCCUGAAGUAGUUCCUGAGAUGGACCGCAUCGACCGUCGAGGGGAAGUAGGUGUGCUGCGUCCGCAGCACCGCCAACUGGCUCUCCGGCGCCUCUUUCUCCCCGACGUCCUUGGCCACCCCUUUUGCCUUUGCCUGUCUUGGGCACCAUGGCGACUGAGAGGGGAUGGAGGAUUAAGGGCGGUGAGGGCGCGGCGGCGGUGAGCAAAGGCAAGAGCUUGAUGAAGAAGAAGGGAGCGACGGUUCCGAGAUUGGGGAAGGCACAGGGGGUAAAUGAGCAGCGCGCCUGCGGUUUCUCCUUUUUUAUGGGGAAGGCGCGGGCCGCCUCUUUACCAUUUACCACGAUGUGACGCAAGCGUGCUGCAACCGCCCCACGCACGACCCCCACGUCACACAUUCAACAUGGGUCGUGGGGAAGUGCAACUGGCGAGGGAGUUACUGCGGUGGAACUCUGCCACGCGUACCCGUGCACCGUUCUGGGCCUGCCCAAUAACGCUCCGCGCUUAUAUGUGGCCCAGGCCCGGGGGCUCCUGUUGGUGUACAAAAGUAGGGGGUCCUUUUUGUACCCCUUUACUUGUGCGCGGGCAGUCGCACCCACACGCUUACUGCCGCGCUUGGCGGGGCAAAAGAGGAAGCAAAGACACAAGACUACCAGAGCAACGCCAAGACAGAGGCGCGAGGAGCGAAGGGACAAGGUGGGCUCUCCCCGACAGGAGCCUUGCCGGGGCAGCUUACGUAGCCCCGGCAAGGGCCUUUGGCGGGGCAACUUGACCAACACCAGCAGAGCCGCCACCCUCGAGCCUAAGAGUUCCGACACCAUCGACAACAUUGGAACCAAGGCUCGGGAGGCGCCUGCAUGGUGGCAUGCAGAUCUUUGUGAAGACCAAGGACAUACAAUACUAGAUGAGAACCAGAAGACGGAAACCCCGACAAGAUCCUUGUCGGGGACGCUCACAAGAUCCCCGGCAAGACCCUUUGUCGGGGACGCCUGCGAGGCCCCGACAAGGCCCUUGCCGGGGCCCCGGCAAGACCCUUGCCAGAGACAUCUGAGGGCCCCCACCUGCCAAGGCUCCACCACCGUUUCAAUACAGUAGUCAACCCGCCAACAAGGCAGGCACCUGCGUGGCGAGGUGCAGCUUCCAGACCAACUCAGCAAGCACCUGCGUGGUGGCAUGCAGAUCUUCGUGAAGACUCUGCCACCGCGCCAACUCAGCAGCCAGCCAGCGUGGCGUUGCAUGCCUAGUCAGCCUGGACGCGCGUCAGAGCGAGGCGAGGCGGCGACGGACUGGACGAGUUUCCUUGUCAUCCUCGAUAAAGUAAGAGGGCACGUCGGCAGUGCAUUAAAUGUGUUUGUCCUAUGGUGCCAGGCGAUAGACUUGUAUACAGUACAAACUUUCCACCUCCUGUGUGCCACUGUGGCACCCCCCUUUGGCUAUAAAAGGAGGCCCGAGGCAUACUGGAGGAGGAUUCGGACUUUUUGGACCCUGCACGCUUUAUAGCUAGUCCAAGAACACCAGAUAAACACAAACCAGCAGGAGUAGGGUAUUACACAUCACUUGCGGCCCGAACCUGGAUAAAUUCCCCGUGUUGAUCUUCUAAACCCGCUCUUUCCACAGCCCCGCGCCCGCCAACCGUAGAAGGGAUUCCCCAUGAUCCCAUAGGUGUCGUUUCCACCGACACGGGGUGCGGGCCGGAGGGGCCCAGCCACGCCUGGGGUAGAGGAGCCCAACAAGCGCGGAGAGGACACGCGGUCACUUGGCGGUGGGAGCGCCGGACGGAGGAGAGAACCGAGGGUUGGUGCAAAAUCGGGCGAUGUGCCCAAAGAAGCGGCACCGCUGGCAGCGCACGUCCCUCCGGCACUCGAAGCGGGGGUGCCCGGUGCCAAGGCAGUGCGGGCACUCGUCUGCCCACGGCGAGGGGGUACGCCGGUCGGCGAGCGGUGGGGAUCUAACAGCGCGCCGACGAGGAGCGCGGCGGGGGCGCGGGCGCCUCCUACCCGAAGUCGUUUCCCAGUCGCCAUCAGUGUCCAGACCAACCUCGUUCACGACCCGGUGCACCUCAAAUCGGGGCCCUGGGCGCACGGCGGGUGGCGAGGGUGGUGGCGGCGACGAGGGGGAAGCGAGCGCCGGGGAGGAGCAGAGCGUGUUGCGGUAGGAGCGGCCGCCGGAUUCCGACGAGGAGGGGCUGGACUCCAUCCAGCGGAGCUGACGGGAGCGGCCUGGGCCGGGGGGAGGGGGAGCGGGAGGCCAUACCGAGCGGCGGCGCCGGAGCCUUCGCGGGGUUGGUGGACGCCGGGGCCGGAGUGGCCAGCGGCGGCGGUGGGAGCAUGGGAGCGUGACUCAAAUGAAUGUACCUAGACGUAGUAGUAGUUUUUCAAGUACGUAAAAAGGUGCAUAUAAACUUAUCAAUUUGGGAACACAAUGUUGAAAGCCCCUCAUAAUUUAGUGGUUUGGUUUAAAAAAAUAUCUGAUUUUAAUUCUCAUUUAUAUGUAAGUAAUGCAAACUAUAUGGGAGCGGCAUUUUGGCUCUGGGGUCCAGAUGAACCCUUUAUCUGAGCCGGUCAUUCAGUAGUAGGGAUCUGCGUUAAUGAGUUUUCGGUCCUAUUGGUGUUCGCAAGUAAAUUCACUGUUGGUCACUGGACUCGUCCCUCUAUUUUACUUUGGUCACUAGACUUAGAAGUACCAUAAUACAGUCACGAAAGUCACAUCCGUGAACUCUAACGGUCACCGUGUACAUUUUGGUUAUGUAUUCUUCCUACAUCGCAUACUGUUUGACCGAUUGACCGUCCACGUAUGUGCUAGCAGACCAGCAACAUAGUGAAAUUCAUAGGCGGUCAUUGGACUUGUCCUCAGAGGCAUGGGCCACUUGCAUGCGUUUUUUUUUGCAAAACCCCCGCGUAGUAAAUGNNNNNNNNNNNNNNNNNNNNNNNNNNNNNNNNNNNNNNNNNNNNNNNNNNNNNNNNNNNNNNNNNNNNNNNNNNNNNNNNNNNNNNNNNNNNNNNNNNNNNNNNNNNNNNNNNNNNNNNNNNNNNNNNNNNNNNNNNNNNNNNNNNNNNNNNNNNNNNNNNNNNNNNNNNNNNNNNNNNNNNNNNNNNNNNNNNNNNNNNNNNNNNNNNNNNNNNNNNNNNNNNNNNNNNNNNNNNNNNNNNNNNNNNNNNNNNNNNNNNNNNNNNNNNNNNNNNNNNNNNNNNNNNNNNNNNNNNNNNNNNNNNNNNNNNNNNNNNNNNNNNNNNNNNNNNNNNNNNNNNNNNNNNNNNNNNNNNNNNNNNNNNNNNNNNUUCGGUAACCACCUCCCAAAUUGAACCCCUUUCCCCAGCCUUCACCGCCAUCGCGUGAGGGAGGUGCAACCAACUGGUGCUCAAGGAGGGACGGCGCACGUCACCAUCAAUGCUCACCAAAGCCAUUGAGUCUGAGAGAGGCAAUUGUCAUUCUCGUAUCCCACCUGGAGGAGGAGGCACAGGAGUUCGGGUGACGGCACCAUGUUUUUCCGCACGGUCAGUACCUAAGUCCAUGAAGCCGGCUAACUCGCGUACGAGGAACACAAGGCAAUCCCGGAGUGAUGCUCCUGGUUGUAUAUCUAUGCAUCCCUCACAGGGGCCUUACCGCUAGAGCCAGCACCUCCGACGGCCUUGGACAACGCAUGUAUGUCAUGUUUCUCUCUGUUGUGUAGGUUCCAGUUUCAUUGUAAGACACUUCCUCGGCCGCUAAGAAGGACCGUGAGGAGGAGCUCUCAUCCAUUCCUCGUGGUGACCCUAUUGGAGUUGGAUUGCAUGCACGAGCACCACGACCAAAACAUGGGCCAUCGUGCAAGGAUCAUGCGGGUUAGUGUGAGUAGCACCAUCGCGUGUGUACUCUCCCCGUGAAAAUUGCAUGGCGGAUUCCAGUGACCGACACAAUAGUGGUCGUAGUGGACUCCAGCAACCGCACACAUAUGCACACGCGCCACGAGCACGGCGACGCCCACCCCAACGACGACCACGAUGGCAUGAUUCUUGCCUUGCCAGUCUUGACUCAUCAUUAUUACAACACCGCCCUAACACCAACGUCAUGUGUAGCUGCGCCUCCACCUUGAACUGGAACCUCCUCCUCAUUGCCAUCUGUUGGAAAUAUGCCCUAGAGGCAAUAAUAUUUGUAUUAUUAUAUUUCCAUAUUCAUGAUUAAGAGUUUAUAUUAUAUGCUAUGACUGCUAUGAUCCCGGAAUAUGCGAUUCAGUGGAAAACUCAUAUGCACAUGUGGAAUAAUAAAUGGUAAAUUAAAGGUUCCUAGUCUCUCCUCUAAGACUAGCUCAAGUAUUGUUGGUGAUCACGUUUUUCGGAUCUUAGGAUAUCACUGAGUGUAAUGAUAGUCCUAAAACAACAUUGAGAUUAUGACAUUGGAAGAACGAUCAUAAUGAAUCGACUCAAUCUUGUUUGUUAUGAAUUGAGUUAAUAUCGUCUGCAUUCAAUUGUAAUAACAUGGAGUGUUAACAUCUGAUAUUGCUCCUUAGACCAUGAGAGUAUCGUGGCCACUUCUUACUAUAUUAUGGGCUUUGGGGUUGCUCAAAUGUCACCUAUAACACGGUGAUCAUAACGACAACUUACAGGUUCAUCGAAAAGUUUGACAAGUGAAUGGAUAACUCGAGAGUGGGAUUUGCUCCUCCGACGAUGGAGAGAUAUUCUUAGGGCCCUCUCAGUGUGAUGGCAUCAAUCAUCGUCUGACCAAACACACAUGGCUUCAUCAAGGGGAUGCCAGAACACAAUAAUGAGAAAGAAGAACAAAAUCGGUAACGAGGAUUUCGGUAUAGUGAGCAUGGUGAUGAGUCAGGAGGAUACCGAUGCAUCCCAAGUUUUUUGAAGUAUCGUGAAUAAAAGUUAACAUCACAUGAUAACCAAAGGUUCACUUGACUAUCAUUCGUGUACUCACAGGGACCAAUAUGGACGUCCACGGUCCCGUUAUUGGUCAUUGAACGAACGGUUUCGUCCAUGUCCGUGAGUUACUGAACCUACUGGGUCACAAGCUCAAGGCAAUCACGAUCUGCUGAGUGUUAGUAGGCCGGGAGUCAUGAGAAUAUAUUUGUGGAAUUAUUUCAUGAAUAUUCGAAGUAGUUUCGAGAGGAUCCAGAAGAGUUUCGAUGAGUAUCGGGUAAUACCGGGUAUUACCGAUAAAUUAUAUAUAGGUGGAAAAAGUUUCUGGAGAUGUUAAAAAAUAUAUAAUAUGGUCUAGAAGUAUUUAUAACAUUUUAUAUUUAAUUUAAAUAUCAACGGGCCUAAAAAGGCCAAGAGGUGGAAGGCAAGUUGGGCCAAAAAGGCCCAAGUGGGAAGUGGGGAAGCCGACCAAAGGGGAGGGACAUUCCCUCUCCUUGUGGCACCCCUCCUCUCCCCUCCAACCUAUAUAUACUAGAGGAUUUCCACCGUUUGGACAUGCAAGUUUUGGAACCUCCUCUAGUUCUUCUAGUUCUAGUUCUGGUUGGUCCUAGUUGACUAAUUAGAGCUAGACUAACAUCUUGUCCUCAUAAUUAGAAUACAUGUGUGGUUAUAAUCUCCUCCCUCUAAUUCUCUGACGAUGAUUAGCUCUAGAUGAUGAAGCGCUGCCGAGUCGUGAAGGCUGCACACUUGCAACCAAGUAGAGAGGUCGUGCUUUCGGUCUUCGGUUCGAGGGGUUGUUCGUGGGCGGUACAAGGGAUGGUUGAUCGACGGUUUGAGGGACUCCAAGUAUGAUGUACACCAACACGUUCUUCUUCC
rnacentral:lncRNA from 1 species